rnacentral:lncRNA from 1 species
AGUAAAAAACAUGCACACACAGAUAAUAAUAAUAAUCAUGUUUCCAUAAAAUUGCUAAGUCCAGAGAUAAUACAUAAACAUAGUAGACUGUUCAUGACACAUAUCACGGUGGACAGUGUUUGUGUCCUUAUUACAAGCAACGAGAGAUGCUCGUCACCAACACGCGCGCGCACAGAUGCACGACAUACAUAUAGUAGAGACCAACAGAUGGUCGUCCCAUAUGGUGAACAAUUUAUUGGGGAUAAAUAUUAACGUAACUUGGCCAUAGCUUGAAGCAUAGCAACAUAUGCCUAUGAGUGGCAUUCAUGCUAUCGUUUUAGGCUUGUCCAGCUCCUUCCAUCUUAGCAAGCACUUCCAUUUCUACCAUCUUAGCAGCAACUGUCAAAUUGAGAUACGGAAAUCCCAUUAGCGCAUGAGUUAAUUUUGCAGUGGAAAUAGAGUACAAGAUGUCUUCAUGAUGUAAGUAAUAUGCCUGAAGUUGUGAGAUGGGAAGUGAAGUCAACAAAUUACAUUAACGGAAAUGCAUGGAAGGCCACACAUACGUAUUAGUCCAUGAUAUGCUACAAAGCUUGUAUGUACAUAUAGCAAAUUAAAUGCAUUAAUUGAAUAGAGUGUGUUUAGUGAAUUUACCAGAAUCGUCCAGAAAACAUGGGAAACAGCAAGUGUUCUUGCAGACUGCGUCGGAGGCACCCGCACGAAUACAAAGCUGACAACAUAGUUUUGCCUGGGCGGAUGCGCAGCAGCCGCACUCCGCCGCGGUGGGGUUAACAUUGAGGCUCAAGAUGACCAGGCACAUGAUCACCAUCAAAGUGGUAGUCCUCUUUCCCUCCAUUGCCUCCUCUUAGCUUGCUGCUACCUUCCUUGGUUACCUAGCUAAGUUUAUUGGUUUUGUGUUGAGAGGUGUGAUUUUUGAAUGGACGUUGCCGGCGGCAAUUUAUAGGCAGCUGAGCUAUGUGAUGAUAUGGACUAGGUGCAAAUGGGUGGUUAAUGGCAAGGAAAGGGGCGUCAGACAAAGCCCAAUGGCAACUGCUGACAUGCGAUUAAAUUCAGAUCCACAUCCGGCCAUUCAAUAAUACGGUUGGAGUUGUGGCACAGAUAUAUUAUUGCAUGAUCAUCAAGAUAAGAUCGUACAGUGACUGAGUGAGACAAUAAAUAGCCAAGUAAACUAUUUUAUCCUGCUGCAAGCUGCAUUCAUAAGUUUAUUUCACCUUUGAUCACAAUACUCUUCACACACGUACGUCUCAGGGAGAUCUCACUUCCGCUGGACUGCUCACUUCCGCUGUCGUCGGUACUGCCAAAGACAUAAGCUCACAUCUGCUAUUGCGGAGCAGGCCAAUUUGCUGCGGAACUUCGGCGACGACCUGAAGGACAUGAACUCGGUGCUGGAGUCCAUCUCAGCAGCGCUCUAGGACGCUGACACCGGUAGAAAAACGACCUUCCAUCGUCAACAAAAAUCCCGGUAGCUUUUUUACUCGGUACUAAAGAGGUUUUAAUCUCGUGCAAACACCUUUAGUCCAGAUUGCUAUUACCACGCAACCCGGACUAAAGCGUCCCCCGCGAGUUAGUAUAUAAGGAUUGCAUCCUUUACUCAGUCAGAUAUAAUAUGUAGGUGAGAUGGUAAGGAAGCUAUGCGUGAGGCUUCAGGUUGUGGGUUCGAAUCCAAGUGGGUGCAGCUGUGGCUUAAGCGGCUGAGGCACGCCGCCAUAGACAUCUCAGAUUUGCUCGAAGACUACCAAGACACUAGUGAACCCUUAACAGUAAAGGUGAGUACUUAUGAAUGUCAGCAUCCAUGUUGUCCAUGCUUCCAAUGUAAUAACAAGAUGGACUACUCUUCCUAGCGGACUCUUCACAACCACUCGUAAAGCUAUGCGUUUCUCAAUGCAAUUUCGUAGAAGCCAAUCGAUCCAACCAAGUGACUAAAUCAUUCGUCCUUUCCAAUGAUGUGCAUCAGGUUUUCUAUAUGAAGGGCAUGUCUAGCAAACCUAAGAUUUCAGAAGAAAAAGAAAAAUCAUUGGAGCCAAAGAGCCACAUAGUUCUUCUAGGAAAAAAAUCAUGGGAGUCGAGAACAUAUCAAACCAAUCAGGGGAUUAUGGUCAGCUUAAUGGCAUGCCUCCAUUCGAUGUCGAAGUUCACCCAAGCAUCAUGUUAGCCAAACAUCAAAUGUUCGUGCGUUGUUACGGUAAAGAUCAAUUGUGUUUUUUAAACUCUUGGAAUUUUUUUAUCUAAGUUUUUAUUUACACUUAUUGGAUGUCUACACAUUUGCUAGAAAACUAAAAUAAUUUGGACUUAAUUAUUUCUUUCAACUGAAGUACUCACUAAAUUUCUACCUUUUUAUUUAAGCAAGAGAGUUGCUAAAAAAAAUGGAUACGUAACCAUGUUGUAUCAUACAAAGUAACCACGUUUCACAUAUAGUCCGGCUUAGCAAACACCAUUGUUUUCUGAACAUAGCGUACAUGAGUUAACAGACAUGGAUUUAUUUCUAUUGCAAGUAGCAUAGCGUACAACCUGCCUGCACCGAUGCAGCUCAAUAUGCGAUAAUUUUUAUCUUCCCAUGUAAUUUUUCUACUCUAGUACAUAUUGAACUCCACAUUAAUGUCAUGUUCUUUCGCGCCCCAGAAGGUUCCUAAAGUUUGGAAACUUAAUAGAUAGCCAGAAUUUUUUUUAAAGAUAUUUAUAUGGAUACUUGUAUGUUCUUUCCAAACUAACAAUAUUGUUUACCAAUAUCAGAAGGAAUAUGGUUAGGAGCCAUUGCCGCAUAUGGCAGGUGAUGGUAGAUGGCGUAUGGGGUUUCGUUAAUUUAAUGGUAUAAUAAGCUGAAAUACAUUUUCUAUUUGCAAAUGAAUCAUAGCUGAAAUUGGUGGGAUUGUUUUUUCGCCGGUUUAGCAUCCUGUGCACCAGUUCAACCGGAGGGAAGCUGUUUUUUUUCUUUGGUUUUCCACCGGUUCACCGAGACCGAUGACAAUUUUAUGGCAGAAUCAUUACUUGUUUUACUAUUAGGUGAAGAUUUUAGCGUUUAGGUAUCUCACAUUAAACGCAACUUCAACAAUCUAUUUCUAGUGUAUAAUGUAGGAGACCCCGUAAAGAGUCUACACACACAUAUAUGUUGACUAUGAAUGUAAGUUUGUUGGUUUUAUGUAUGUUCGUUUGGAGUUUAUAUAAAUUUUACAUUUUAUAGUUUUGUGUAUAUGACGAAGAUCCAUGACUUGCAUUAAUUUAGCCUUUCUUCCAACAACUCUUAUGCAUGCUGUUUCUAGGCGAGCGUACUGGUUGCAAUUUUGGUCCCCGAUAUAGUGUGAGGACUUAAGGGACACGUGCAGGUCGUAACCUUAGAUAUUUUUGCUGAGAAUGGAUGAAGAAGCAAUAAUAUACUUUGCUUCUGAUUUUCUCCAUGUCAUUUGCUUACUCUUAUCCCUUUUAUUUAUCAUUAUAAGAUGAAAAUAUUGUAAAAACUUGGCUACGUGCGGUCGCAGAAGCUAGAGACUAAAGCGUCCCCCACGAGUUACUAUAUAAAAGGAUUGCAUCCUCUACUCAGUCAUAUGUACUGUGUAGGUGAGAUGGUAAGGAAGCUAUGUGUGAGGCUUGAGGUUGUAGGUUCGAAUCCCACGCACCGCGUGCGCAUGCGCAUAUUUUGCGUGAAAAAUCGCAUGACUUGUGGUCGGCCAAGGAGAAGUGCGUGCGGCUGAGGCACGCCGCCAUAGACAUCUCGGAUUUGCUCCAAGACUACCAAGACACUAGCGAACCCUUAACGGCAAAGUUGAGUACUUACGCGUGUUAGCAUCUAUGUUGUCCAUGCUUCCAAUGCAAUAACAAGAAGGGCUACUCAUCCUAGCGGAUUCUUCACAACCACUCGUAAAGCUAUGCGUUUCUCAAUGCAAUUUCGUAGAUGUCAAUCGAUCCAACCAAGCGACUGAAUCAUUCGUCCUUGCUAAUGAUGUGCAUCAGGUUUUCUAUAUGAAGAACAUGUCUAGCAAAUCCAAGAUUUCAGAAGAAAAAUAAAAAUCAUGAGAACCAAAGCACCACGUAGUUCUUCCAGGUAAAAAAAACAAUCAUCCACUGGGAUGACACACAGUAGCGAUCCAAAACGUCCAUAUUAAGACUUUUUGAUAGCAGAAAAAACAUGAAAAUGUCUAAUAUUUGUAGUAUUAAAAGGAAAAAUAAUAUAUUCACUUGACCUUUUUUUCGUAGCAACGCACCGGUGCGUAGUCAGACUUAGGCCACGUUUGGAUACUCCCUACUAAAGUUUAGCACCUGUCACAUAGGAUGUUUGGAUACUAAUUAGGAGUAUUAAACAUAGGCUAAUUAUAAAACUAAUUGAAUAGAUGGAGUCUAAUUUGCGAGACGAAUCUAUUAAGCCUAACUAGUCCAUGAUUUGACAAUGUGGUGCUACAGUAACCAUUUGCUAAUGGUGGAUUAAUUAGGCUUAAUAGAUUCGUCUCGCGAAUUAACAUAGGGUUCUGCAAUUAAUUUUAUAAUUAGCUCAUGUCUAGUCCUUCUAAUUAGCAUCCGAACAUCUGAUAUGAUACUGCUAAAGUUUAUCACCUAGUAUCCAAAUACCCCCUUAAUGCACGAUGCCUGUGCAUCCACUGGGCCUACCCUCGUGGAUCACGCGCUCGUGGAUCACGCGCACCAUGACAUGGCUCAUUAGCUAGUCGUGCUAAUCCUUACCACCAAAUUAAAAACUAGCAUGUGUUGUGUGUUUGUGACCCUAAACGACUACCACCUUCCCGAGUCCACCGGAGUUGCCAGUUCACCACUAAGCUGACUCUCCGAGCUUCAUGUCACUGUCACCGCUCCAAAGACCUAGAUCGGUUCGCUGUGCACCCCGCUUCGUCCUGAGCUAAAUCCCAUCACGAAAGGUGACCGGAUGCUCGUUUUCGAGCGAAUUCUAGCGAGAUUGCCACCACCUUUCCCCUUCCAGCCGAUCGCAGCUGUCUGAUCACAAACCGACAGCCCAGAUCGGAUUUGACCAGGUCAAUACCGGUCAAGCCGAGAUGCAUGCUGCUUUUGCAAGAAGGCCCCUAUUUUUCUCUCGUUUUGCACUUGAGGUCCUACGCAGUUCAAAAGUAAUUAGAUCUAGAUCCUUUUUCUUCUGUUUUAGCCCUGUUCUUUUAUAAAAUCCCACCCGCCAUCCUGUUUGGUAUUUUGACAUGUUAGACCUUCUAUUUAUAUGUUUAAUUAGGUUUUAGCCCUUGGUUUCUUUAAGUUUAGCUCUUGGAAGUUUAGUUUUCUCGCAGUUAAGCCCCUGAACCUUGUUUAGUUCAUAUCUUUAGCGUUUUAAAUCCGUUUUAAGAGAUUCUUACGCCCAUAAGUUCGUGUUGAUGCAUAGAUUAGUUGACUUAUACGGACCUUGCUGAUUCAGCUCCUUCAUUGUGCUUCAGAUCUCGCUAGUGAAGAAUAAUGGAUGGGCUUUGGUUGAGCUUGUAGAUCGACCUGCAGUUGCAGUGAAUGUGCUGAGGACUGGCGGUACCAAUAAUGGGAGGCCGCUGCUCUGCUUGCUACCAAGGCCUGCGACGCUUGGACGCCAUUCAGAGUGCAUAAUUUCCAAGGAUCUCAAGGGCUCCACACCACGUUCCAAGUGUUUUUUCUUUGCCGAGUGUUUUUAGCUCGGCACUUGGCAAAGAGCUUGUUUGCCGAGUGUCCGAAAAAAACACUUGGCAAAGAGAAAACACUCGGCAAAUUUGAUGUUUCCCGUAGUGAUGUACUAUUCAAACUUGAACUGGGAUGCAGGCUUCAGUACCAAAGAGAGCUCUGGGCGCGGGUGAGCAGUGAGCUGGCCGGGCAGGGAGCUCCAAAGCGACAGCAACAAAGAGAGAAAUGCUAAGAGUAAGAACGACACACGAGGUCACUUCACAUAGAUAAUAGCAGUACGAACCAUACAAUAUCCUCUCUCAGUUUCACUCCGCCUCACACACGGCUAGCACACCAUGCAUGCCGAUUUCAUAUUAUUAAUAUUAUUUUUUGGAUGGUUGUUGAAACUAUAUAUAUAGUUAGUCCAAUCUCACGUUUCCGAUUAUAAAAAUCAACGUAAAGAGAUCGGUAGGGAGAGCCGGCAUAAUGAAGCCGACGCGUGUAAUAAGCACCAGAGCCGGCAUUUAUACAAACUGGUACGAAUAGUAAAAAACUAGAAUUUAUAAAUAAAAAAAUGAUUUGCACAUCUAUGCAAUAAUUAGGGGUUAGUGGCAGGUCUAGAGAGAUAUCUCAUCAUUAUAUCCGGUUUAACGAGGAUAAAAAAGAGUGUAUUUUCCACUCAUCAUGUUGUCUUUUCGCAGCGGUACCACUUUUCGUGUGUUGUAUCGGUCCCCUAAUACGGAGUCUCCGAGGCCCGAGAAAAUAAGGAAAGUGAUAGUAGCCCAGAAAUCGGCCAAGUUUCUUUCCCCUUUGGCUUUCCUACUAGGAUUCAGAAUCCUCUUUCGCAUGACAAUCUUAAUUAUCUCCCAUACUCCAAAACUCACAAAAACAUCAAGAGUCCGCUGAGAAUAAAUUUAAGUAAAAAACAUGCACACACAGAUAAUAAUAAUAAUCAUGUUUCCAUAAAAUUGCUAAGUCCAGAGAUAAUACAUAAACAUAGUAGACUGUUCAUGACACAUAUCACGGUGGACAGUGUUUGUGUCCUUAUUACAAGCAACGAGAGAUGCUCGUCACCAACACGCGCGCGCACAGAUGCACGACAUACAUAUAGUAGAGACCAACAGAUGGUCGUCCCAUAUGGUGAACAAUUUAUUGGAGAUAAAUAUUAACGUAACUUGGCCAUAGCUUGAAGCAUAGCAACAUAUGCCUAUGAGUGGCAUUCAUGCUAUCGUUUUAGGCUUGUCCAGCUCCUUCCAUCUUAGCAAGCACUUCCAUUUCUACCAUCUUAGCAGCAACUGUCAAAUUGAGAUACGGAAAUCCCAUUAGCGCAUGAGUUAAUUUUGCAGUGGAAAUAGAGUACAAGAUGUCUUCAUGAUGUAAGUAAUAUGCCUGAAGUUGUGAGAUGGGAAGUGAAGUCAACAAAUUACAUUAACGGAAAUGCAUGGAAGGCCACACAUACGUAUUAGUCCAUGAUAUGCUACAAAGCUUGUAUGUACAUAUAGCAAAUUAAAUGCAUUAAUUGAAUAGAGUGUGUUUAGUGAAUUUACCAGAAUCGUCCAGAAAACAUGGGAAACAGCAAGUGUUCUUGCAGACUGCGUCGGAGGCACCCGCACGAAUACAAAGCUGACAACAUAGUUUUGCCUGGGCGGAUGCGCAGCAGCCGCACUCCGCCGCGGUGGGGUUAACAUUGAGGCUCAAGAUGACCAGGCACAUGAUCACCAUCAAAGUGGUAGUCCUCUUUCCCUCCAUUGCCUCCUCUUAGCUUGCUGCUACCUUCCUUGGUUACCUAGCUAAGUUUAUUGGUUUUGUGUUGAGAGGUGUGAUUCUUGAAUGGACGUUGCCGGCGGCAAUUUAUAGGCAGCUGAGCUAUGUGAUGAUAUGGACUAGGUGCAAAUGGGUGGUUAAUGGCAAGGAAAGGGGCGUCAGACAAAGCCCAAUGGCAACUGCUGACAUGCGAUUAAAUUCAGAUCCACAUCCGGCCAUUCAAUAAUACGGUUGGAGUUGUGGCACAGAUAUAUUAUUGCAUGAUCAUCAAGAUAAGAUCGUACAGUGACUGAGUGAGACAAUAAAUAGCCAAGUAAACUAUUUUAUCCUGCUGCAAGCUGCAUUCAUAAGUUUAUUUCACCUUUGAUCACAAUACUCUUCACACACGUACGUCUCAGGGAGAUCUCACUUCCGCUGGACUGCUCACUUCCGCUGUCGUCGGUACUGCCAAAGACAUAAGCUCACAUCUGCUAUUGCGGAGCAGGCCAAUUUGCUGCGGAACUUCGGCGACGACCUGAAGGACAUGAACUCGGUGCUGGAGUCCAUCUCAGCAGCGCUCUAGGACGCUGACACCGGUAGAAAAACGACCUUCCAUCGUCAACAAAAAUCCCGGUAGCUUUUUUACUCGGUACUAAAGAGGUUUUAAUCUCGUGCAAACACCUUUAGUCCAGAUUGCUAUUACCACGCAACCCGGACUAAAGCGUCCCCCGCGAGUUAGUAUAUAAGGAUUGCAUCCUUUACUCAGUCAGAUAUAAUAUGUAGGUGAGAUGGUAAGGAAGCUAUGCGUGAGGCUUCAGGUUGUGGGUUCGAAUCCAAGUGGGUGCAGCUGUGGCUUAAGCGGCUGAGGCACGCCGCCAUAGACAUCUCAGAUUUGCUCGAAGACUACCAAGACACUAGUGAACCCUUAACAGUAAAGGUGAGUACUUAUGAAUGUCAGCAUCCAUGUUGUCCAUGCUUCCAAUGUAAUAACAAGAUGGACUACUCUUCCUAGCGGACUCUUCACAACCACUCGUAAAGCUAUGCGUUUCUCAAUGCAAUUUCGUAGAAGCCAAUCGAUCCAACCAAGUGACUAAAUCAUUCGUCCUUUCCAAUGAUGUGCAUCAGGUUUUCUAUAUGAAGGGCAUGUCUAGCAAACCUAAGAUUUCAGAAGAAAAAGAAAAAUCAUUGGAGCCAAAGAGCCACAUAGUUCUUCUAGGAAAAAAAUCAUGGGAGUCGAGAACAUAUCAAACCAAUCAGGGGAUUAUGGUCAGCUUAAUGGCAUGCCUCCAUUCGAUGUCGAAGUUCACCCAAGCAUCAUGUUAGCCAAACAUCAAAUGUUCGUGCGUUGUUACGGUAAAGAUCAAUUGUGUUUUUUAAACUCUUGGAAUUUUUUUAUCUAAGUUUUUAUUUACACUUAUUGGAUGUCUACACAUUUGCUAGAAAACUAAAAUAAUUUGGACUUAAUUAUUUCUUUCAACUGAAGUACUCACUAAAUUUCUACCUUUUUAUUUAAGCAAGAGAGUUGCUAAAAAAAAUGGAUACGUAACCAUGUUGUAUCAUACAAAGUAACCACGUUUCACAUAUAGUCCGGCUUAGCAAACACCAUUGUUUUCUGAACAUAGCGUACAUGAGUUAACAGACAUGGAUUUAUUUCUAUUGCAAGUAGCAUAGCGUACAACCUGCCUGCACCGAUGCAGCUCAAUAUGCGAUAAUUUUUAUCUUCCCAUGUAAUUUUUCUACUCUAGUACAUAUUGAACUCCACAUUAAUGUCAUGUUCUUUCGCGCCCCAGAAGGUUCCUAAAGUUUGGAAACUUAAUAGAUAGCCAGAAUUUUUUUUAAAGAUAUUUAUAUGGAUACUUGUAUGUUCUUUCCAAACUAACAAUAUUGUUUACCAAUAUCAGAAGGAAUAUGGUUAGGAGCCAUUGCCGCAUAUGGCAGGUGAUGGUAGAUGGCGUAUGGGGUUUCGUUAAUUUAAUGGUAUAAUAAGCUGAAAUACAUUUUCUAUUUGCAAAUGAAUCAUAGCUGAAAUUGGUGGGAUUGUUUUUUCGCCGGUUUAGCAUCCUGUGCACCAGUUCAACCGGAGGGAAGCUGUUUUUUUUCUUUGGUUUUCCACCGGUUCACCGAGACCGAUGACAAUUUUAUGGCAGAAUCAUUACUUGUUUUACUAUUAGGUGAAGAUUUUAGCGUUUAGGUAUCUCACAUUAAACGCAACUUCAACAAUCUAUUUCUAGUGUAUAAUGUAGGAGACCCCGUAAAGAGUCUACACACACAUAUAUGUUGACUAUGAAUGUAAGUUUGUUGGUUUUAUGUAUGUUCGUUUGGAGUUUAUAUAAAUUUUACAUUUUAUAGUUUUGUGUAUAUGACGAAGAUCCAUGACUUGCAUUAAUUUAGCCUUUCUUCCAACAACUCUUAUGCAUGAUGUUUCUAGGCGAGCGUACUGGUUGCAAUUUUGGUCCCCGAUAUAGUGUGAGGACUUAAGGGACACGUGCAGGUCGUAACCUUAGAUAUUUUUGCUGAGAAUGGAUGAAGAAGCAAUAAUAUACUUUGCUUCUGAUUUUCUCCAUGUCAUUUGCUUACUCUUAUCCCUUUUAUUUAUCAUUAUAAGAUGAAAAUAUUGUAAAAACUUGGCUACGUGCGGUCGCAGAAGCUAGAGACUAAAGCGUCCCCCACGAGUUACUAUAUAAAAGGAUUGCAUCCUCUACUCAGUCAUAUGUACUGUGUAGGUGAGAUGGUAAGGAAGCUAUGUGUGAGGCUUGAGGUUGUAGGUUCGAAUCCCACGCACCGCGUGCGCAUGCGCAUAUUUUGCGUGAAAAAUCGCAUGACUUGUGGUCGGCCAAGGAGAAGUGCGUGCGGCUGAGGCACGCCGCCAUAGACAUCUCGGAUUUGCUCCAAGACUACCAAGACACUAGCGAACCCUUAACGGCAAAGUUGAGUACUUACGCGUGUUAGCAUCUAUGUUGUCCAUGCUUCCAAUGCAAUAACAAGAAGGGCUACUCAUCCUAGCGGAUUCUUCACAACCACUCGUAAAGCUAUGCGUUUCUCAAUGCAAUUUCGUAGAUGUCAAUCGAUCCAACCAAGCGACUGAAUCAUUCGUCCUUGCUAAUGAUGUGCAUCAGGUUUUCUAUAUGAAGAACAUGUCUAGCAAAUCCAAGAUUUCAGAAGAAAAAUAAAAAUCAUGAGAACCAAAGCACCACGUAGUUCUUCCAGGUAAAAAAAACAAUCAUCCACUGGGAUGACACACAGUAGCGAUCCAAAACGUCCAUAUUAAGACUUUUUGAUAGCAGAAAAAACAUGAAAAUGUCUAAUAUUUGUAGUAUUAAAAGGAAAAAUAAUAUAUUCACUUGACCUUUUUUUCGUAGCAACGCACCGGUGCGUAGUCAGACUUAGGCCACGUUUGGAUACUCCCUACUAAAGUUUAGCACCUGUCACAUAGGAUGUUUGGAUACUAAUUAGGAGUAUUAAACAUAGGCUAAUUAUAAAACUAAUUGAACAGAUGGAGUCUAAUUUGCGAGACGAAUCUAUUAAGCCUAACUAGUCCAUGAUUUGACAAUGUGGUGCUACAGUAACCAUUUGCUAAUGGUGGAUUAAUUAGGCUUAAUAGAUUCGUCUCGCGAAUUAACAUAGGGUUCUGCAAUUAAUUUUAUAAUUAGCUCAUGUCUAGUCCUUCUAAUUAGCAUCCGAACAUCUGAUAUGAUACUGCUAAAGUUUAUCACCUAGUAUCCAAAUACCCCCUUAAUGCACGAUGCCUGUGCAUCCACUGGGCCUACCCUCGUGGAUCACGCGCUCGUGGAUCACGCGCACCAUGACAUGGCUCAUUAGCUAGUCGUGCUAAUCCUUACCACCAAAUUAAAAACUAGCAUGUGUUGUGUGUUUGUGACCCUAAACGACUACCACCUUCCCGAGUCCACCGGAGUUGCCAGUUCACCACUAAGCUGACUCUCCGAGCUUCAUGUCACUGUCACCGCUCCAAAGACCUAGAUCGGUUCGCUGUGCACCCCGCUUCGUCCUGAGCUAAAUCCCAUCACGAAAGGUGACCGGAUGCUCGUUUUCGAGCGAAUUCUAGCGAGAUUGCCACCACCUUUCCCCUUCCAGCCGAUCGCAGCUGUCUGAUCACAAACCGACAGCCCAGAUCGGAUUUGACCAGGUCAAUACCGGUCAAGCCGAGAUGCAUGCUGCUUUUGCAAGAAGGCCCCUAUUUUUCUCUCUUUUUGCACUUGAGGUCCUACGCAGUUCAAAAGUAAUUAGAUCUAGAUCCUUUUUCUUCUGUUUUAGCCCUGUUCUUUUAUAAAAUCCCACCCGCCAUCCUGUUUGGUAUUUUGACAUGUUAGACCUUCUAUUUAUAUGUUUAAUUAGGUUUUAGCCCUUGGUUUCUUUAAGUUUAGCUCUUGGAAGUUUAGUUUUCUCGCAGUUAAGCCCCUGAACCUUGUUUAGUUCAUAUCUUUAGCGUUUUAAAUCCGUUUUAAGAGAUUCUUACGCCCAUAAGUUCGUGUUGAUGCAUAGAUUAGUUGACUUAUACGGACCUUGCUGAUUCAGCUCCUUCAUUGUGCUUCAGAUCUCGCUAGUGAAGAAUAAUGGAUGGGCUUUGGUUGAGCUUGUAGAUCGACCUGCAGUUGCAGUGAAUGUGCUGAGGACUGGCGGUACCAAUAAUGGGAGGCCGCUGCUCUGCUUGCUACCAAGGCCUGCGACGCUUGGACGCCAUUCAGAGUGCAUAAUUUCCAAGGAUCUCAAGGGCUCCACACCACGUUCCAAGUGUUUUUUCUUUGCCGAGUGUUUUUAGCUCGGCACUUGGCAAAGAGCUUGUUUGCCGAGUGUCCGAAAAAAACACUUGGCAAAGAGAAAACACUCGGCAAAUUUGAUGUUUCCCGUAGUGAUGUACUAUUCAAACUUGAACUGGGAUGCAGGCUUCAGUACCAAAGAGAGCUCUGGGCGCGGGUGAGCAGUGAGCUGGCCGGGCAGGGAGCUCCAAAGCGACAGCAACAAAGAGAGAAAUGCUAAGAGUAAGAACGACACACGAGGUCACUUCACAUAGAUAAUAGCAGUACGAACCAUACAAUAUCCUCUCUCAGUUUCACUCCGCCUCACACACGGCUAGCACACCAUGCAUGCCGAUUUCAUAUUAUUAAUAUUAUUUUUUGGAUGGUUGUUGAAACUAUAUAUAUAGUUAGUCCAAUCUCACGUUUCCGAUUAUAAAAAUCAACGUAAAGAGAUCGGUAGGGAGAGCCGGCAUAAUGAAGCCGACGCGUGUAAUAAGCACCAGAGCCGGCAUUUAUACAAACUGGUACGAAUAGUAAAAAACUAGAAUUUAUAAAUAAAAAAAUGAUUUGCACAUCUAUGCAAUAAUUAGGGGUUAGUGGCAGGUCUAGAGAGAUAUCUCAUCAUUAUAUCCGGUUUAACGAGGAUAAAAAAGAGUGUAUUUUCCACUCAUCAUGUUGUCUUUUCGCAGCGGUACCACUUUUCGUGUGUUGUAUCGGUCCCCUAAUACGGAGUCUCCGAGGCCCGAGAAAAUAAGGAAAGUGAUAGUAGCCCAGAAAUCGGCCAAGUUUCUUUCCCCUUUGGCUUUCCUACUAGGAUUCAGAAUCCUCUUUCGCAUGACAAUCUUAAUUAUCUCCCAUACUCCAAAACUCACAAAAACAUCAAGAGUCCGCUGAGAAUAAAUUUAAGUAAAAAACAUGCACACACAGAUAAUAAUAAUAAUCAUGUUUCCAUAAAAUUGCUAAGUCCAGAGAUAAUACAUAAACAUAGUAGACUGUUCAUGACACAUAUCACGGUGGACAGUGUUUGUGUCCUUAUUACAAGCAACGAGAGAUGCUCGUCACCAACACGCGCGCGCACAGAUGCACGACAUACAUAUAGUAGAGACCAACAGAUGGUCGUCCCAUAUGGUGAACAAUUUAUUGGAGAUAAAUAUUAACGUAACUUGGCCAUAGCUUGAAGCAUAGCAACAUAUGCCUAUGAGUGGCAUUCAUGCUAUCGUUUUAGGCUUGUCCAGCUCCUUCCAUCUUAGCAAGCACUUCCAUUUCUACCAUCUUAGCAGCAACUGUCAAAUUGAGAUACGGAAAUCCCAUUAGCGCAUGAGUUAAUUUUGCAGUGGAAAUAGAGUACAAGAUGUCUUCAUGAUGUAAGUAAUAUGCCUGAAGUUGUGAGAUGGGAAGUGAAGUCAACAAAUUACAUUAACGGAAAUGCAUGGAAGGCCACACAUACGUAUUAGUCCAUGAUAUGCUACAAAGCUUGUAUGUACAUAUAGCAAAUUAAAUGCAUUAAUUGAAUAGAGUGUGUUUAGUGAAUUUACCAGAAUCGUCCAGAAAACAUGGGAAACAGCAAGUGUUCUUGCAGACUGCGUCGGAGGCACCCGCACGAAUACAAAGCUGACAACAUAGUUUUGCCUGGGCGGAUGCGCAGCAGCCGCACUCCGCCGCGGUGGGGUUAACAUUGAGGCUCAAGAUGACCAGGCACAUGAUCACCAUCAAAGUGGUAGUCCUCUUUCCCUCCAUUGCCUCCUCUUAGCUUGCUGCUACCUUCCUUGGUUACCUAGCUAAGUUUAUUGGUUUUGUGUUGAGAGGUGUGAUUCUUGAAUGGACGUUGCCGGCGGCAAUUUAUAGGCAGCUGAGCUAUGUGAUGAUAUGGACUAGGUGCAAAUGGGUGGUUAAUGGCAAGGAAAGGGGCGUCAGACAAAGCCCAAUGGCAACUGCUGACAUGCGAUUAAAUUCAGAUCCACAUCCGGCCAUUCAAUAAUACGGUUGGAGUUGUGGCACAGAUAUAUUAUUGCAUGAUCAUCAAGAUAAGAUCGUACAGUGACUGAGUGAGACAAUAAAUAGCCAAGUAAACUAUUUUAUCCUGCUGCAAGCUGCAUUCAUAAGUUUAUUUCACCUUUGAUCACAAUACUCUUCACACACGUACGUCUCAGGGAGAUCUCACUUCCGCUGGACUGCUCACUUCCGCUGUCGUCGGUACUGCCAAAGACAUAAGCUCACAUCUGCUAUUGCGGAGCAGGCCAAUUUGCUGCGGAACUUCGGCGACGACCUGAAGGACAUGAACUCGGUGCUGGAGUCCAUCUCAGCAGCGCUCUAGGACGCUGACACCGGUAGAAAAACGACCUUCCAUCGUCAACAAAAAUCCCGGUAGCUUUUUUACUCGGUACUAAAGAGGUUUUAAUCUCGUGCAAACACCUUUAGUCCGGAUUGCUGUUACCACGCAACCCGAACUAAAGCGUCCCCCACGAGUUACUAUAUAAGGAUUGCAUCCUUUACUCAGUCAGAUAUAAUGUGUAGGUGAGAUGGUAAGGAAGCUAUACGUGAGGCUUCAGGUUGUGGGUUCGAAUCCAAGGAGAAGUGGGUGCAGCUGUGGCUUAAGCGGCUGAGGCACGCCGCCAUAGACAUCUCAGAUUUGCUCGAAGACUACCAAGACACUAGUGAACCCUUAACAGUAAAGGUGAGUACUUAUGAAUGUCAGCAUCCAUGUUGUCCAUGCUUCCAAUGUAAUAACAAGAUGGACUACUCUUCCUAGCGGACUCUUCACAACCACUCGUAAAGCUAUACGUUUCUCAAUGCAAUUUCGUAGAAGCCAAUCGAUCCAACCAAGUGACUAAAUCAUUCAUCCUUUCCAAUGAUGUGCAUCAGGUUUUCUACAUGAAGGGCAUCUCUAGCAAACCCAAGAUUUCAGAAGAAAAAGAAAAAUCAUUGGAGCCAAAGAGCCACAUAGUUCUUCCAGGAAAAAAAAAUCAUGGGAGUCGAGAACAAAUCAAACCAAUCAGAGGAUUAUGGUCAGCUUAAUGGCAUGCCUCCAUUCGAUGUCGAAGUUCACCCAAGCAUCAUGUUAGCCAAACAUCAAAUGUUCGUGCGUUGUUACGGUAAAGAUCAAUUGUGUUUUUUAAACUCAUGGAAUUUUUUUUCUAAGUUUUUAUUACACUUAUUGGAUGUCUACACAUUUGCUAGAAAACCAAAAUAAUUUGGACUUAAUUAUUUCUUUCAACUGAAGUACUCACUAAAUUUCUACCUUUUUAUUUAAGCAAGAGAGUUGCUAAAAAAAAUGGAUACAUAACCAUGUUGUAUCGUACAAAGCAACCACAUUUCACAUAUAGUCCGGCUUACCAAACACCAUUUUUUACUGAACAUAGCGUACAUGAGUUAAGAGACAUGGAUUUAUUUCUAUUGCAAGUAGCAUAGCGUACAACCUGCCUGCACCGAUGCAGCUCAAUAUGCGAUAAUUUUUAUCUUCCCAUGUAAUUUUUCUACUCUAGUACAUAUUGAACUCCACAUUAAUGUCAUGUUCUUUGGCGCCCCAGACGGUUCCUAAAGUUUGGAAACAAAAUAGAUAGCCAGAAAUUUUUUUAAAAAAUAUUUAUAUGGAUAUUUGUAUGUUCUUUGCAAACUAACAAUAUUGUUUACCAAUAUCAAAAGGAAUAUGGCUAGGAGCCAUUGCCGCAUAUGGCAGGUGAUGGUAGAUGGCGUAUGGGAUUUCGUUAAUUUAAUGGUAUAAUAAGCUGAAAUACAUUUUCUAUUUGCAAAUGAAUCAUAGCUGAAAGUGGUGAGAUUGUUUUUUCGCCGGUUUAGCAUCCUGUGCACCGGUUCAACUGGAGGGAAGCGGUUCACCGAGACGGAUGACAAUUUUACGGCAGAAUCAUUACUUGUUUUAUUAUUAGGUGAAGAUUUUAGCUUUUAGGUAUCUCACAUUAACAAUCUGUUUCUAGUGUAUAAUGUAGGAGACCCGUAAAGAGUCUACACACACAUAUAUAUGUUGACUAUGAAUGUAAGUUUGUUGGUUUUAUGUAUGUUCAUUUGGAGUUUAUAUAAAUUUUACAUUUUAUAGUUUUGUGUAUAUGACGAAGAUCCAUGACUUGCAUUAAUUUAACCUUUCUUCCAACAACUCUUAUGCAUGCUGUUUCUAGGGGAGCGCACUGGUUGCAAUUUUGGUCCCCGAUAUAGCAUGAGGACUUAAGGGAGACGGGCACGUCGUAACCUUAGAUAUUUUUGCAAGAAGCAAAUUAUACUUUGCUUUUGAUUUUCUCCAUGCCAUUUGCUGACUCUUAUCCCUUUUAUUUAUCAUUAUAAGAUGAAAAUAUUGUAAAAACUUGGUUACGUGCGGUCGCAGAAGCUAGAGACUAUUUCUUUUUUUAAAAAUACGCAAGAGGGAGAAACUUGGUAACAGCUAGACAGUGAAGAUCGCAUUUCAUAAGAAAGAUGGUGCACGUUCUUGUUUGGCUGUUAACGAAAUGACUUCGUUUCACCACACCACCAGAGAGCCCCAUUGCACUUGCAGCAAAAGCGUGGAGCCGCUUUCAACCAGCGUGCAAUAAUGCAGUCCCGCGUGUCUUGGUCUUACAGGAUAUUUGGUUCUUUAGUCCGGACUAAAAUUCAUGUCGCAUAGAAUAUUCAGAUGUUAAAUAGGAGGACUAAACAUGAGCUAAUUAUAAAAAUAAUUACACAAAUGGAGGCUAAUUCCCAAGACAAAUCUAUUAAGUCUAAUUAAUCCAUCAUUAGCACAUGUUUACCGUAGCACCGUAUUGUCAAAUCAUGGACUAAUUAGGCUUAAUAAAUUCGUCUCGCAAGUUAGUCUCCAUCUAUACAAUUUGUUUUAUAAUUAGUCAAUGUUUAAUACUCUAUCUAAACAUUCAAUGUGACUGAAAUUUUAGGAGGUCCUAAAGAACCAAACACCCCUUAGUCUCCGCCUGAACUAUAGCAGGUGCUGGCAGCGGUAGCAGGGUCGUCCAUUAUAUCUAUGGAUGGAAAUGAUCUGAUUCGGAUGGAAUCGAAUUCGAAUAGCACUUUUUACCACAUACUAAUCUGAAUUGGAUGUUCUCGAAUGUGAAUGCAAAACGGAUAGUUCAAAUUUGAAUACUUUGCGGAUUUUUGCAUAAUAUUAAUCGAAGAGAAUUUGUUAAAUUUAGCCGAGACAUAAAUUUUUCUAAAUUCAAAUACUUUGCAGAUUUUCGAAUGCAAAUUUUUUCAUACGAUCUCGGUUGAAUACAAACUUUAUAUCAAAGUUGUAUAUUUAGAUUAUAUAUAAAACUUUGUAGUUGACCUCCUUUUCAUUUAAAAUUUUUUAAUAGCUCAAAACAUUAUUCUAAGCUUUCUAAUUUCAAAAUCUUGAAUUUUAAAUUUUUCAAACGACCUCGGAUGCAAACAAGCUCUAUAUCAAAGUGCUUAAUGAGAUAUAAAAUUUUGUAGUUGACAAGUUUUUUAGUUGAAAACAUUUAGUUAUCACAAACAUACAAGUUCUUCAUUUGAUGUCGAGGAUUGGAAGUGUUGAGUUUGAAGAAUAUAUUCUUUGAUUACAAACUUUUCCAUAUGAUCUUGGAUGAAUACGAACUUUAUUUCAAAGUUGCAAAUUUAGAUUAGACCAAAAACAGUAUAGUUUACAAUUUUUUCAUUCAAAAUUAUUUAGUAGCUCAAAAUGUUAUUCUAAACUCUCUAAUUUUGAAAUCUUGAAUUUUAAAAUUUUCAAAUGACCUCGGAUGCAAACAAGCUCUAUAUCGAAGUGGUAGUUCUUAAUGAGAUAUAAAAUUUUGUAGUUCCAUCUGAGAUCAUUUAACAGUCACAAAUAUACAAGUUUUUCAUAUGAUGCUAAGGAUCAGAAAGAUUAAGUUUGAAGGCUGUAUUUUUUUAAUACAAAUUUUUGCAUACGAUCUCGGAUGAAUACAAACUUUAUAUCAAAAUUGUAGAGCUCGAUGAGAAUUUAAACUUUGUAGUUGAUAUAUUUUUCAUUCGAGAAUGUUUAGUGGUCCAAACAUGUAUUAUAAGUUCAGAGAAGAAACACACAAUCGGCCACGUCAUCAAUUGACAACUUCCAAACUGAGCAUUCCUAUUGGUUCACACCUUUCCCUUUCAACUCGUCAAGCUUAUCUCCUCCCACUCCUCCAUCGUUCACUCCCCCUUCCCCUUCCUCUCUCCCUCCCUCCCUCCGCUCCAGCAGUGGCAGCCCGACCUGCCUCCUAGGACGGUGGUGUGCGGGGCUCGGGCAUCCCUGGCCUCUAGUGGCGUGGCAGGGCGGCCUCCAGCAGCGAUGGCGGAACUCGGCCUCCGGUGGCGCACAGGCAGCGCAGCCUACCUGGUCAAAGGCGGCGCAACAGGGCGACCUCCCCAGCCUCCGGCGGCGCGCAGGGCAUCCAUGACCUCCCCGGCCUCCCUUGCCAGAGGUGGUGCGCGGGGCUGCGCCGACCUCCCCAACCAGAGGUGGCAAGGCCCCAGCUUACGGCGGCGCGUGGCUCCCCAGCUAGGGUGUGGUGGGGCGGCGGCAAGUCAGGCGUGGCCGCGUGGGGGUGGGGGGAGGGGGUUGGGCUGGGCGGAUUCAGAUAGUAUCCAUUUAACCAUCCGAAAUGUGGAUAUCCGUUUAACAAUCCGUUUAGCAAAACCGAAUUUGGAUACUUCCACUUAAGUAUCCAACUAGGAUUCGAAUGCGGAUGGUCCUACCAUAUUGUUAUUUCAGCGGAUACGAAUAUGGGAUAAUUCGAAUAACGACUUACCCAUCCCUGAUUAUAUCCGUGUAAAUAAAUAAUUGCGGCAGCAGGUUCCCGUCGCCACGCCCCCGUCAAACCAAACAAUUGCUUGCGCGACACCGUGUUACUAGAUCUUGUACAGUACUCCCUCCGUUGCAGUACUCCCUAAUGAAAGUUGAGAAUCGAUCGACAACCACGGCUAGUUGCUAUGCACUCGAUCAGAUGGUCCAGGCGCCCGCUGGUAAUCAGGUCGUGGUUCACGCGCAUCAGGCCAGCUAUGACGUUGCCAGCAGUGCUCAGUACACAAAUCUAGCUAUCAGUCGGAUCCAAUUGGGCAGGCAUUUGCACUGUGGUUGUGUUUGAACCUGUAGAUGUCGUUGUCAUUAUCAGGCACCAUACAUCCUCUCUCAGAGGGUGUUUCACCCCCUAAACUUUAGCCCCUCUCACAUCGAAUGUUUUAGAUACUAAUUAGGAAUAUUAAACAUAGAAAAUUUACUAAACCCAUUACAUGGAUGGAGGGUAAACGGCGAGACAAAUCUAUUAAAUCUAAUUAGUCCAUGAUUUGACAAUGUGCUGCUAUAGUAACUAUUUGCUAAUGAUGGAUUAAUUAGACUUAAUAGAUUUUUCUUGCUGUUUAGCCUCCGUCUGUGCAAUUAGUUUUAUAAUUAAUUCAUAUUUAGUCCUCCUAAUUAGUCUCCGAAUAUUUGAUGUGACACGGACUAAACUUUAGAUAGCACACCAGGGACCGACACCAUGCAUGCUGAUUUCAUAUCAUAAUUAAGGAAAGUGAUAUCAUAAUUAAGGAAAGUGGUAGCAUCCAAGAAAUCGAUCAUGUUUCUUCCCCCUUUGGCUUUCCUACUAGGAUUUGGAUAGCGGGCCUUCCUACUAGGAUUUGGAAUCCGCUAUCGCAUGACUAUCUUAAUUAUGUCCCAUAGUCCAAAACUCACAAAACAUCAAAAAUCCAUCGAGAAUAAAUUAAGUAAAAAACAUGCGCACACAGAUAAUAAUAAUAAUAAUCAUGUUUCAAUAAAAUUGCUAAGAUUAGAGAUAGUACAUAAACAUAUUAGAUUGUUCGUGACACAUAUCAUGGUGGAUAGUGUCUGUGUCCUUAUUACAAGCAGCGAUAGAUGCUUGUCACCACACACACGCACGCACAGAUGCACGACAUACAUAUAGUUGAGACCAACGGAUGGACGUCCCAUAGGGUGAAUAAUUUAUUGGAGAUAAAUAUUAACAUAACUUGGCCAUAGCUUGAAGCAUAGCAACAUAUGCUUAUGAAUGGCAUUCAUGCGGGUAGCAAUGCUAUCAUAUGCUUUUAGGCUUGUCCUUAGCUUCUUCCAUCUUAUAGCAAACACUGCCAUUUCUUCCAUCUUAGCAGCAACUGUCAAAUUAAUUGAGAUAUGGAAAUCCCAUUAGCGCAUGAGUUAAUUUUGCAGUGGAAAUAGAGUAGAAGAUGUCUUCAUAAUGUAAGUAAUAUGACUCUGACAUAGGGAGUGAAGUCAACAAAUUACAUUAACGGAAAUGCAUGGAAGGCCACGCAUAUGUAUUAGUCCGAUAUGCUACAAAGCUUGUAUGUACAUAUAAUAAAUUAAAUGCAUUGAAUAGAGUGAUUUUAGUGAAUUUACCUAAAUCGGAUUAAAAAACAUGGGAAACAACAAGUGUUCUUGUAGGGCUUUGUUUAGUUCCCAAAUUGGGAGUAGCAAAGUUUGCAUUUUACCAUAAAUGCGCAACUAUAGCAUGUAGCAUUUUGUUUGUAUUUGUGAAUUAUUAUCCAAACAUUGACUAAUUAGGCUCAAAAGAUUCAUCUCGCAAAGUACAACAAAACUGUGCAAUUAGUUUUUGAUUUCGUCUACAUUUAGUACUCCGUGCAUGUACCGCAAGUUUGAUGUGAUGGGGAAUCUUGCUUUUCAAUAGUGACAAAGUUGGGAUUUCGGGGGGAAGGCCUGUGUCGGAGCCACAUGCAAGAAUGGCUGACAUUGAGGCUCAGACAAAGCCCAAUGGCAACUGCUGACAUGCGAUUAAAUUUAGAUAUCCACAUCCAGCCAUUCACAUUUAUGAGAUAUGGACACGGUGCAAAUGGGUGGGGUCCUGAUAUGGAGGUGCGAAUGGCUGUCUACUUGUAUAGUGUAGCUCCAAUGUACGUAUAUGUAUCUUAUGCAUGUAUACAGUUGCACAAACUCUGAACCAACUCUUCAUAACAGGUCUUUGUUACCAAGUAACUUUACUUUUGCACGUUUCAGCCGAGAGGUAGAAGAGAAUAUUUUUGCAUUUUCCAUGUGCGUCAGUGGUAGAGAACUAGGAAUUAGUUCCGGAUGGUAGGGCACAAAUCUUCCAAACAACUAUCCGAAAUUAAGCAAUCGAGAUAAAGGGUGCCAUCUAUUCUCUCCGAAAAACACAGGUACCAAAAAGAAGAAGAGAAGAGGGAGGGCCUCCCGUUAAGGCCCGCUCGGGGUCUCCAUCCCACCACGCGCCCUCCCAACCCAAAGCCCAUCGUUUUCCCUCCGUCCCUCCCCUCUCCAUUGCCGCCGCCGCUCCCCUCAUCCGAGCUCGAUACGGGUGGUCGGCGGCCCCUCCUCUCCGCUCCCGCCCCCGGCCUCCCUUUGACCGCCGGGCGCCGGCAUCACUGCCGCGGCCAACCCCAGGGCGCAGCGCGUGCCUCUAUUUCUCUCCCCCGUUCAAGGGCCCUUUGAUGGCGACGAGCACCCACCCACCAGGUAUGCCCUCCCCUUCUCUUCCUAACCCUAAUAUAUUCGGAUCUCACCCAGUCACAAUAUAUUACCUAAUAGCUUCGAUUUUGUUUGCAAAAAUCAUCACGUGCGCACCCAUGUCCGCUAGAUUCUUGCGCCUGAUCCUGUGCUGCUAUGGUUUGGGCGGGGUAGACUAGUUGAUUCGUGCACUUUUGGGUGCUUGUAGUGCUAGGUUUUGGAGGGGGAUAGCCCAGUUGAUUCCUCCGUUUUGGGUGCUCAUGGUGAUAGGAUUUGGAUGGGGAUAGCCCCAAUGAUUCGUGCGCCUUUGGGUGCUGGGGAUAGUUUUGGGUGCCUGGAUAGUCCAGUUUCAAUGUCAGUAUAUGCGUAUUUUGGGGAGAAUUUUGUUUUGGGUGGUUCUGGUGCUAGAGUUUCUGAUGCUUAGUAGCCCAGUUUCAAUCAAAUUCCCCCAUGGGUCGUGCACUACGGGAAACAAGAAAAUUGCCGAGUGUAUUUUUUUUGUCGAGUGUUUUUUUUCGAGCACUCAGCAAACAAGCUCUUCGCCGAGUGCCAAGUCAAAAACACUCGGCAAAAAAAAACACUCGGCAAAUCGGGGCUUUGCCGAGUGUCAAAUAAAAAACACUCGGCAAAGAAGGGGGUUUGCCGAGUGUUAAAAAAAACACUCGGCAAACAGGAGGGUUUGCCUAGUGUUUUUUUGACACUCGGCAAAAAAAUAAUUGUUUUUCCUCUUUUCACCUUGAAAUUUUUUCUACUCCCCACAUACAACACGUGGUACUCCAUGUUAAAAUUUGGUAUAUUUUUGGAUUUAUUUGCUAUAUUUAUUUAAUUAAUUGCAUUACAAGGAAAUUUUUGGUAUAAGUCAAAUUUGAACUGCAAGUGAUUCAAAUUGUGGAACAAAAUGAGUAGAAAAAUGAUAUUCAUGUUAUUUGGCUCAAUUUGAGACCUGACCCAUGAAAUGAAAAGAAAUUUCGAACAUCUUGUUCAGGAAACACGACAAUGAACAUGUGGCGGUAGUAUUUUUAAAUUGUAAAAAAAACAAGCAAAGUCUGAAAAUCAUGAGAUUUGUAGUUAUGUGAUGAUAUAAUACGUGGAAGCUGUGGAAAAAAAUUGGAAAGGUUUUGCACAUUUCAUCAUGUACGAUGAUUACAAACCGAAGCAUAUCAGAAGAAGAAUAGUAACUUUGAGAAGGAUUCGAUAAAAUUUAGAGUCGAAGUGACGGUCGAGUUCGGUUUGACUACAAAACUUUUUGUAUAGUCAGUAGAGAACAUAUCUUAUUUCGUGUGAAAAUUUGGUAUUUUUUGAAACUGUUGGAUAUUUUUAAUUUUUUUUUAAAAAAACUUUGCCGAGUGUCCUAGGGUAGACACUCGGCAAAGAAAAACUUUACCGAGUGCCCGCCUAGGACACUCAGCGAACCUUUUUUUAAACCUACCGGCUCCGGCCGGCCCAGCCCACAAACACCACCCGCCCCCCGCCCCCGCGCCUUCUUCCUCACGCCGCCCCCGCCCCCCACCCGUGCCUCCGGACCGCCCCCUCCUCCCCCUGGCCUCCCCUCACGCCGCCCCCCUCCUCCCCUAGCUCCCUCCACCGGCGGCCCUCCCUCCCCCGGCGCACAUCCUCCACUCCUCCUCCCCUUCCCUUCCCUCCCCUCCCCUCCCCUCUUCCUCCCCUGGCCGGAUCUGGCGCCCCUAGCUCCCCUUUCUUCCGCGGCCAGAUCUGGCGCCCUCCCGGCGGCGGGUCGUGGCGAUCGGGGCGGCGGCGGCGGAUCAGGCCGCGGGGCGGCGGCGGCGGCGGGUCGUGGCUACCGGGGCGGCGCCCUGCCCCUCCCCUCCCUCUCCAUCUCCGGCUGCCGUCCACCCCCUCCCCGGAUCCGCCCCCCUCCCCUCCGCGCGGCCAGCCCCUCCUCCCUCUCCGGCCGCCGCCCCGGCCCCUCCUCUCCCUUUCUCCGGCCACCGCCCCGCCCAUCUUCUCUGGAUCCGGCCGGAUCCGGCCGCCGCACAGCCCCUCCUCCCCGGAUCCGGUGGGCGCGGACUUCGUGGUGGUGGCGCCGGAUCCCUCCCCUCCCUCUCCAGAUAACUCCCUCCACUCCUCCGCUCUUCCCCUCUCUCGCGCGGCGGCCUCUCUCCGGCCGCCGCCCCGCCCCUCUCCCCGGAUCCGGGGGGGGGGGGACUCCGCCCCUCUGCCCCGGAUCCAGCUCCCCGACCCGCGAGUGGGGCGAGCUUGCUCAUGCGGUCGACGUCGAGGCCAGGGUGUGGUGGAGGUGGUGGCCGGCGGGUGUGGUGGUGGUGGCGGCGGCGGGCAUGGCGGCGCGGAGGCAAGGCACGGCGGCCGGUGGGAGGCACGGGUGCAAGGCGUCGACGGCAGGAGGCAAGGCACGGCAGCAUGGGAGGUGGUGCUGUGGUGGUGGUGCUGGCGGUGGUGGCGGCGGCGGAGCAGGAUGUGGUGGUGGCGGAGGAUGUUUUUUUUUCAAAAAUUUGUUGCCGAGUGUUUUCUCGGCACUCGGCAAAGACUUUACCGAGUGCCCGACACAAAACACUCGGCAACUCAGUGUUUGCCGACUGAAAAAUUGCCGUGUGCCGUUUGCCGAGUGUUACACUCGGCAAACGGUUCGCCGAGGGUUUUUUGCCCUUCGCCGAGUGCCCCUAGCACUCGGCAAUUUCACUAUCUCCCGUAGUGGUGGCUGGACUUAUGGGGGGAUCAUUGAUGGGGGACUAGUUGGAUACUUUUUGGCUGUUUUGGGAGUCCUUGGCAGCGGCUUCUCAGGGCGUACGUAGCCCAUUGUAGAUUCCAGCCGAGAAGAUUAAGGAAUUGUGACUGCAACCAUGUUACUUUUCUAGGACUCUGUUUCUGAUAUUGUUCCCGCUGCAUCUUUUCAUCCCCAUGGUGAAUGUUGCUGUUGAUCUGUAGAUUGGAUUUGUUCCUCGGUAGCUUUAUUAGAUUUGUGCUGAAUGAUAAUCUCUGCCUGUGAUAUUUUUCUUCAUUGCGGAUGUGUGCCGAGUAUUAUCCCCUUUGUUCAUUCUGUUGGCUUUUUUUAUUGUCUCUGUACUCGGCUGUUCAGCUUGUGCAGCUAAUGAUCUAAUGUAUUUUGUCGUAACUAUGUAUUUUUCGGAUGUGUGCCGAGUAUUAUCCCCUUUGUUUAUUCUGUUGGCUUGCUUUCAUUGAUCUUAAGAUAACUGGUGCUAUAAAUUCACACUAGCUGAUGCACUUGCAAAUAGCUAUGUAAAUAUGAAAAGAAGUAUUUUUUUAUCCUUUUGUUUGUUUGGCAUCAUAUCUGUUUAAAUGGCAUAGCAAUAAGAAUUUUUUGUUUUUGGGGAAUCAUAUCUGCUUAAAUGGUAUAGAAAAUGCUGAGUGCACUGUCAAAUAGAUUUUCCAGCAGUCUGCUUUCAGUUGUUUUUGCAAAUCCUCACAGGCCAGUGAACUGACUUUGUUUUUACCACCCCAUGCCAUUUAAAUGACUAAAUCAGUCAGCCUAAUACUAUAUAUGGUCAUGCUAUGAUCUUAUUUCUUGAAGCUCUAUAGGUCAACCCAUAAGGGUAACUUAGUUUUUCCUAUUCUGGCUGGGGAAGUGGAUACGAUGGCUAUCCUUGGUAGAGUUAAAUACAUUGGCGGCUCUUAGCGCGCCAAUGUGGCACCACAAUAUCGAACAUAUGUAGAAACCCCCUUGUUUUUUCUCAUAUCCCUCUCUCUCAGCGUCCUCUUCUCUUCUUCUCCUCUGUCUCCUCCCCUCCCAUCGCGUGCUUUAUUGCGCCGCCGCCAUCCGCCUCCAUGUAUGAACACGUCGUUUGUCAUGAAGAAGCAGUUGAUGAGGCAAUCAAGCAUGUGGUGCACAAGGUUCUUCUGCUGGCCAAGUCCGAGUCGAACAGCCGCGCAUUCAUUGGGGAAGCACGCGCCAGGCAUCACCAGGCUCCUCGUGCCCCUACUCUGCUCCAAGGACUCGGUGCUUCGACGCGCUGCUUUCCCUGUCCGGCGAGCGGGGAUCGUUGGGAGAUGAUCGAUGGAGGAUGGAGCUGAUCCUCCUGUACACGGUGCCGGUGGGGAGCAGGGAGCUGCGGAGCAGGUCCACGGGCGGCGCCAUUACAGCAGGUGCAGGCUAAGGGUAAUGAGCAGAUCGAGGCGAUGGAGGAGGACCCGCACGAGGUGCAGCUUCUUCGCCUCCUGCGCAAAGUCAGCGCCCAAGCAGCCGCUGAGGGACAGGCCGAGGCUUAGCUCGAUCUCAUCCGACUAAAUGGUGGCUGCACUCCCACAGUCCCACUGGUGCUCCUCCCUUCUGUCCGAACCUGCCGAGGAAAUCCCUCGAUGCCAUGGGUCCCGGCUGGACGACUACUCCUCCCACAGAUUGACUGAGGAAGAAGAGCUUCUCAGUGUCCAAAAAUUCAGUUACACUGGAAACAGCAACCAAUUACGUUCUUCCGGCUCAGCCAAGCCCCAAUCUCCUUGCUUCUGUGCGCCCCUGCUAAAUAUUCCAGAAACCAAUCUGGUUAGUUGUUUUUUCACAUUUUCAGUGCAUGCCGGUGCUGCUGUGUGCGGCAUGCAUGGAGUUGUCGUGGGAGUGCACGGUGGCUUAGCUGGUGCGCCAGUGCGCGGGCACGAACACAACGGUGAAGAUGGCAGGGCCAUCUCAAAGCUCCUGAGCACCUGCACGCGUCGCUGAGCAGGACAUGCUGCGACGGUGGGCGAGCGCUGCUAACGCCCUGGGGAAGAGCAGUGGGUGCAGAGAGAGGGAGCGAGGGAGAGGGGUUCUUGUAUAUGUUUGCUAGCGUGGCACCGUUUACGGUGCCCGCCUAAGUGGCAUUCACGUGUCAUUCAUCCCAAAUGGUGUUGCAAGGUUGAACCUAUUGUGGGAGGCUUUUGGUUUCCCUUGACAGUAUCACCAGUGAUAUCACUGCGUUCUGGUUAUGUAUGAAACACUUGUCCUUUUAAAACCUUUCUGAAUUUAGAAACGAAUUUGAAACAUUACCCUCAUUUCCAUGUUUUUCUAUCUUUUGUCCCUGUAAAAUCAAACUAAAUUUGAAUUAUUAUGUUCAGAACUACAAGCUGAUUUACUUGUCCCAUUUGCUAAUAACAGGGCCUUGUGAUUUCUAAUGAACAUUGCAGAGCAUGUUAUAAAGCGUAUGCAUGAACACCAAGGGGAUGAAACCAUUGGUAUAUUUCUCACAACCUUUUGAACUUAUCAUUUAGCAUAUUUGUGUUCUAGUGUGACGUUUCAGCCACGAGACAUGAGAAAUGUUAGCUAUGGAUUUUGGUUAUUCAUCAUGGGUUCACAGAUUUGUUUUUCUCUAAAAGAAUUGGGAAGUAGCUUUCUUUCUGGGUAUAUGUGGGGAAAUGCAUAUGCAAUCUUUUAUUUAUUGAGGUGACUGUAAAAUUCUUGUCUGACUGAAUAUGCGAUUUCAACCUACAUGCUAUACUUAGGGAAAUUUGUGAAUCUCCUAAUGUCUGCUGCAUGGCAUGAAUGCAUAUUUUACUGGUCCAUAAUGUGAAGUUCUGUAUAUAAACUUCUCGUGUUGACCCUUUAGAACAUGCUAACUGGAGAGUUUUCUAGAGUAGUUAAACAAGAGAUUUAGUUAAAUCUGCACACAUAGGUGGGGCCUGGCAUACCCUAAGAAUCGGCCUAGCCGGUCAGCCCAUUAGUAAAAAAAAAAGCACCGCAGUCAGCAGUCCCCACGUUGGUCUUCCUCGAGUCGCGACUCGCGAAGCUCCCAUCCUCCGAGUCCAAGAUGGUGGACUGUGUCGAGCGCGGGGCGGGCGAUUAGUUGCCCGGCCGCCGGCGGGGGAUGGCCGGACGGCCAGAUCGCCGACUCCUCUAGUCCUCCCUCCAGCCUCUGCGCUUCUUUCACAGUGGAGCUAGCGGCGAGGCGCCCGACCGACACCCUUCUUCCCAAAUCCCGGCAGCCCUACCUCGAUUUGGCCUCCUCCGAUCAUUUGAUAAUCAAUUUGAUGAAAUUAAUAUGGAGUUGCUUUCUUGUAUGGUUGCCUUCAAUCCUGCUAAUUCAUUUGCUUCAUUUGAUGCACAAAAGAUACAUAGACUUGCUAUAUUUUUAUCCACAAGACAUCACAAGCACGGAUUUGCUAAAACUUGAAUUCCAGCUCGAUAUUAUAUUGAUGAUGUGAGAUAGGAUGAUAGUUUCAAAGGCCUACAAGAUCUUGUUAACUGAGACUCAGUUAAGCUUGUUGAAACAAACAGGCAUAAUAUUUAUGACUUGGUUUACUUGCUUCUCAAAUUGGUAUUGGUUCUUCUUGUGGCGACAGCUAGUGUUGAAAGGGAUUUUUGUGCAAUGACUUUGAUCAAGAGUAAGCUAAGAAAUAAGAUGGGUGAUAGUCUUUUGGAUGAUUGUCUUAUCACAUUCAUUGAGAAAGAUAUUUUCUUUGAAGUGGAUGAAGAAGAUAUAAUUAAGACUUCAUAUCCAUUAGAAAUCGUAGGCUGGAGAAGAAGUAAUAUUUUAAUUUUCUUUGAACGUUAGGUCUGUAAGCUUCUUUUAAACUAUCUACAUUAUAAUUUAUGGACCUUUUAAUUUAACCGUUGAAUUCAUGAUAUUAUGAGAUUUUUUUAUCUAUGUUAUUAUUGUUUACCGAUUUAUUACCAAAUUAUUAGUUUGAUCUUACAAUAUUGUAUUUUGGAUGAUUGGCUCGGCAUACUCUAAGUUUAAAUCCUAGCUCCGCCACUGUUUGCACAUUAAUGUGGCUUAUAUGUGUGGAGUCACUUAACCUAUGCACUUGGACCUCCACUCCCUUAGGUUUUAUGAACCUAAUUUGACAGCCUGCUCGUCUUUUAUUUUCUACCAAUCAGCUAGGAACGAACAUGGUGAUGUUUGCAUCUCUGCCAUCAAUGGCUUACAUGUCAUUAUGUAUCACAUUAGCAAGUCUUGUUUUGUUAUUGGCUGGGAUGACGGGGACUCUAGCUGGAAUUGAAUCAAAGUGGUAGAUCACAGGGUAUUCAUUGCCAUGUAUUUCUGCAGUUGCAUGGACUUGCAUCAAACGGACCUUCCUACUUAUGUGAUUGUCCUAUAUGAUCUCCUUUGAUUUCAUUUGCACACUGUAAUCACAUUAGCUAGAACACUCGCUUUUUGCUUCAAAUUUGAAAUUCAUAUCAUGAUGGACUAGAACGCUGAAUUUCUUGAUUGCUGAGUUACUAAUCACAUUGUGGCGCUGCCAAAGAAGCUGGACUCUUCAUUGUUGUUGCCUUGUGGGCUGCCGUGUGCAAAGAACAAGAGCGCACGGUAUUAUAAUAGCAGAGCAGAACACAGACAAGCGACAAGGAGCGGAGCAGAGCAGAGCACAGCCAGGCACAAGCAGUAGAGUAGAGCAGAGCAACCGGGAGAGGAGAGGGCACAUAUGCAGAGUAGAGCAGAGCCAAGCGCAAGCAUUCAUGCACUCAAGCAUGCAGCAGAGGUGUAGCAAGGCAAGCACAAGCAGCAGAGCAGAGGGAAGGGAAGGCUGGGAGAUGAAUAGGCGAAUAGUUACCUGGACAGAGCAGAGGGAAUGGAGAUGAUGCAGAUGCUUCCGGAGACUCGAGAUUUGGAGAGGAACAAGGCCACGUUGUGAACAAGGUCUCCUUUCUCUUCUCUAUUUCCCGCGCAAGUACUUGUGCAUAGUGGCUGCCUCAUCCUCCAGGACGUCCACUUCAACCUGAGGCGGGUGCCACAGACAUCCUGGCUAUGCGACGGCUACCCCCAGCACACCCCCGGCGCCUAUGAACCAUGAUCCUAAUACUAUAAAUUGUCAACCUUGUAAUCUUAUUUCAAGCAUGCUCUCUAUGUCAACCUGUAAGGUUAACUUCGUUUUUCCUUUUCUGGGUAGGGGAGUGGAUAUUGCUGUUAUUUAUAUUAUGUUGAUAUUGGUUUCCACAUGUCAUUCACCCCAAAUGUGUUGCAAGGUUGAACCUAUCAUCGGAGGAAUUUUUUUCCCUUUACCUUUAUAUCACUACGCUCUGGUUAUGUAUGAAACACUUGUCUUCUUAAAAACCUUAAUUUAGAAACAAAUUUGAAACACUAUCUUCAUUUACAUCCUGUAUGUGUUUUCUACCUUUUGUCCUAUAUGAUCUGCUUUGAUUUGAUUUGUGCAUAGUUUUUUCAAUUCAGACCUGGUGAUUUCUGAGGUUCAUGUUGUGCUGAUAAGCAGCCUACUAUUCAGUAACACUUUCAUGUGGCAUGUUCAUGUUAGCUAGCUAGAAACACUGCUUUUAGCUUCAAAAUUCAAAUUCAUGACAUGAUGGACAUUGACAAUGAAUUUCUUGAUUGCCGAGCUAUGUACACUGUAAUUCAGACCUGGUGCUUUUAGUUUUUUUCUUGAUUGCCGAGCUAGAAACACUGUGCUUUUAGUUUUUUCAAUUCAGACCUGGUGAUUUCGGUUUUUUCAAUUCAGACCUGGUGAUUUCUGAGGUUCACGUGUCACACCGAUUUUAAGAACAAAAUCGAGUGCAUUAAAUAUACAUGUACGCUAGGAUCAGGUUACACACAUGUACGACAUAAGCGAAUAUCAAAGACAAUGCCAUAACGAAAUAAAGAGAGUAUUAAUCAUUAUUACAUGACCGAAAGUCUCAAAUAAACCACAAAAUCUAUUUAUUACAUAGCGGAACUUCUAAGAUAGCAACGUCUCCACAGGCAGCUGACUGAAGAACUGUAUGCCUAGAACUCUUCAAAAUCGUGCAGGUACUCCUCCAGAUUAGCUUGGUAUGAACAACGGUUUUGCAAGGGUGAGUACACUUAUGGUUGGUACUUAAUAAGUCGUGGGAAACAAUGUAGUGUAAGGCAAAUCAAGGUAUGGCUAAGGCUUAAACAGCAUCAGCUUUUAAUUUAGUUGGUCAAAUUUUAUUAGCAAUUAAUUAGACGUAAAUUUAUACCACCCGAAAUUAAACAAGAACAUGAAUAAAAUAAUAACAUAACCAUAAAUGAAAUGACAACAAUUUAAAUCCAUCUUUUCAUAGCAUUAUCAUGUGAGGGUCCAGUCCGUUCUUAACCGUGAGCACCGCUGAUCGAUCAGUUUUACACUCUGCAGAGGUUGUACAUCUUUACCCACAAGUCGCGUAAAAGUUCAAAAGAAUUUUGGACCCAACCAUGCGGUAUUUGCAAGGCACCAUACCACACUUCCAAGGUGUGAUUGCAUAUGAACGCUACGAGGCCUUUACAAAGAUUCAUUAGUAAGUGGUAACCCGCUAAGGUUUCGGUAUUUGGCGUGCACAACCUAUCACAGGCCGCUAAUGCAACGACUCAGUCCCCCCUCUUGCCUCAUCACGAGUAAGAUUACCCCAGACUAAGGUUUCUAAUUAUUCAGCCAAGAUCAGAACCAUUUAGUCUUGUGGUAGCACUGUUUUCCUGGGUGGUUCUCCAUGUUCCGAUUAAACAUAAUGGUCUUGUAUUAAUGGAAGGUAUAACAUAAAUAAUACCAAAUUAAUAAUAAUUCAGAUUAAAUCACCAUAACCAUAUUUGAGCACUAAGCAUGAGCUACCCAACAUAAAUUUAACCCGGUUGGUCAAGGCAAGGUAGAUAAAGUCUAGGAAAUUCUUAAUUGGGACCCAUCAAGUUUAAAUUAUACUUUGCAUGGUAUGUUGCAUAGAACAUGAAAGUAAAUGUGAAUAGGACUGAAAAGGAGUGAUUAGGGACACGACUUGCCUUUUUAACCUUGUUCUUGCUGUUCGUACUCUUCGAAAACUUUGAUCUUCAAAUCCCUUGAACUGCUGACCGUCUACACGCGUCACACGACCACAUACAAGCAAACAAAUAUAAUACAUAAGAAAACAGUACACCAAUCAUAAUUAAAUAGAAGAAACAAAUUUGAAAAGCUAUUCUACGCAUUAAAACGAAAACACGGAUACAAGGAACGUUAAAAACGGAGCUACAGUGCAAAAACUACGCUUAAAACAAGAUGCAGGGGUAUAACUACGAGAAACCAAACUUCCAGGGAUUUAAUUUUAAAUAAUUUUGAACUGCAGAAGGGGCAGCAGGGCAAAACGUAGAAAAUGCAGGGGCUUAAGCGCAAAAGCAUGGCUGCUGACUCAGCUGACUUGAUGUGGAUCGUCGGAUGGCGAUCCGGCGGCCGGCAGCUGCUGCGCUGACGUCAGCGACGGCGAGCGCCGGCGAAAAACGGCAGUUCGCCGGAAUCGCCCGGGAACGCGCGACUGGGUGCAGAUUUGAGCGAGGAUUAGACUAGCAGAUAGAAACGAGCGCAGUGAACUCAUUUGGGAUGCCUACGGCGAGGACUUGGCGACGGCAUCGGCUCCGGCGAGAACUUGCGGCAGGGAAACCAAAUAAAAUAAAAUAACACGGUUCAGAGAAGCGGCGCUGGAGGAACGCGAGCGAUUUUGCGUGCGAGCGGAAGAAAACACUGCGAGGAAGAUGACUGCGGGCCCUGCUUGUCUGCGGCAGGAGGAGAGCUGCGUGCGAGAAGAACCUGGCCACGAUCUGGGCCGUUGCCUUCGAUCUGGGCCGAGGCAAGCUAGCUGGCCCGCUGCUGCGGAAAGGUGCUGGGCCACGGGCGGAGCACAGCGUCGGGCCAGAAAGGAGAUGGCUGCUGCGAGGAAACAAAAGAAAAUGAACUGGGCUGCGACAGAGGAAAACUGGGCGUCGGCCAGAAAGAAGCUGCGUGCAGCUUGCUCUUGUUUCCGAACUAGAAACAGGAACUGACGGAAAGACAGAAAUCAAUUGGAGACUGAAACUGACGCCCCAGACUCUGAACUUCGAAAAAACAGGACAACCAGCCAACUGACAGAAAAAAAAAAGCUUAACAACCCAAAAGCAGUACACAACCACGAAACCAGGCCACAAGACUGAAAAAGCUUGAUAGGAACAUCUGGCGACUGAACCAAAAAACUACAGAACUGCAACUGAAGAACUAGAGAACAGAUAAAUAACUGAUUGAACUCUGAAACUGAAACACCAAAGAGCAGGAAGCUGACUGACGGAAAAUGCAAAACAGCAACCCAAGGUGAAACACAAAUUCUUCUUCAAGCAUUCAAACAAAGAGAUAUGCAACAGCAUGAAUGCUCAAUAAAAUCCUAUAUUUCAUUAAUUAAUUAGAAAAAAUGCUCAAAUGCCUAGAAAAAUGCAAAAGUGACCUUAUAUGCCUUAAACAAGCAAAUUCGUUUCUAGCGAUUUUUGGUAAAAUGCAAAAUUAGAGAUUUUGGGUGUUACAUCAUGUUGUGCUGAUAAGCAGCCUACUAUUCAGUAACACUUUCAUGUGGCAUGUUCAUGUUAGCUAGCUAGAAACACUGUGCUUUUAGCUUCAAAAUUAAAUUCAUGACAUGAUGGACAUUGACAAUGAAUUUCUUGAUUGCCGAGCUAUGUACACUGUAAUCACAUUGUGGGGCUGAUAAAAUAAGCAGCGUUGAGACACAUAACAAUUGAAUCUUAAGCUUCACACAGAAUCUGGACCAGUCAUCCUCAUUCCUGUCAUGCUGGAAAUGUCUUUGAUACAUUUCAAUCACAGGCAAUUGAAUUCGUACUGGGGAGGAUGGCAAUGGUGCAUGAAGAGAGAUCAAUGUGGCAAAUCUCACAUUGUUCAUUACCAGGUAUCUCCGAUUUCUGGUUAUUUUAAAUUUACCUUGACAUGUGACUUAUUGAGGUAUUGUAUUUCAUCUAAUGGUAGUUCUGAAUUUAUGGUAACCUUGGAUGGGGUUUGUCACUUUAUACACGCACGGACUUACAAAGGACAGCAAAUGAGUAUAUUUAGAGGGCUCCUGUCCAACCAUGGACUAUACUUAUGUACCCUUUUUUGACAUGGUAAUUUGAGGUUAAUGGAAAAGUAGCGAUAGUCGCCUCCAGCGAAGCUACCUUCUUCGAAAGCUCCGAGGCUGCUUUCUCGCUCUUAGCAAGCCGAUCCCUCGUAAUCAUCGAAGAGUAAGAGACCUACAGAUUUUAAAAACCAAGUUACCAAAAAUAACGAAGUAAAAGACAACACUCGCAAGACAAACCACCAAACUAUCUCAUAAUUGUACCUUCUUUACGAGGUUCGCCUCCAAGUUAAAGAGCUCUUCCAAGAUCAUUGACUUCACAGCUUGCUGAAAAUCUAUGCGCCAAAGGAUAUAGUCGUAAGCAUAAAAUAAAAAUUGGUAAAAACCAAGGACAGCAAAGCCAUCUACAAGCUGUUCUUACCCUCAUACUUUCGCACCUCAACGGCGAUCGGAACAACCUUCUCUCUAGCCUCGCCCUUAGACGCCACCACAAUCUUCCCGCCACACAAAUCCACAACCCCUCCUUUACCUUUGCCCUCUCCCGAAGUCGUCGUGCCCGCCUUCUCCACCCUUUUUGAACCGCCAACAUCUGCAUAGCGCUCGCAACCUUCACCUUCAGCCCCCCAGACCAAAGACAGGUUGUGAGGAUUAUAAACCCUACCUUCGGCGCAUGUAGCUAGAAUCUCCGUGCGCCCGCUCAAGCCCAGACACUCAUUCAGUCCCUGAAGCCCCGCCGGCAACCUCUCACCUACAUCAUAACAUUCAACUUUUAGCCUCACAUGAUCCUCACAACUAACCUUACCAACGCCCCCCAUAGUUUCUUCCAAGUCCUUCAAAAAUUUCGUUGAGGCCUCACCACAAUCAAAGAACCGUAGCAUCGAUAGAAACACCUCUACAUGCUUACCAGAUCUCACAGCUUCGGCACACCCACCCUUUGGAUCAGAUGAGAACGCAUCCACAAGCUUCGCCUUUUCGGUGGCAAACCCCCUCUCAAGUUUCCCAACAUCAGUCAAGAGAUGUUGCGCGCUCUUAAACUUCGAGCUUAUGGAAGGCACCGUGAUCUUGGUACCAGCUGCCGAAGACGCGUCAACCUUGGCACCCGUAACAGUAACAGGAGCAAAUCGAGGUUUCUUGGCGCCUCUUUUGAUCCGUGCGGCGGGCCCGGUGGAUGAAGGUGCAAGAGCUGGAACCUCCUUAGGAGGGCGCAUAGAGACAGGAACAACAUAUGCCGGAUUGCUCAAGUCGCCAGACGAAGCUGUCGACCACGAUGGCAACAUAGCAGACGAAGCCCCCGCGGUCAUUUCCUUCCUUUUUUGCGCCUCCAAAUUCAAGGUCUUUUGCUUCGCCUUAGCGGUCACUUGCAAUUCAAUAGUGAGCUUCACCAUGGGUACGAAGUCAAAUUUUGCCUUUUUCCUCUGCUCAAGACUAGCACCGCGACGGCGCCUCUUGCCCGUAACUUUGGGGUGAGGCAGAACCACAAUAUCAUACAAGUCAAAAAUCUAAGAUGAUGACAUUCCAUUUGUAUCCAUGAUUUAUAUUGUGUUCCUUGAAUAUCCAUUAAAGUCUACUUGAAUUGAUUUGCAAUUAUGUGAAUUGUAUGUGAAACUCUUUCCUUGUAUGGUUAUUCUAAAGUUGUCCCUAGUCGGAGUUCAUGUGAGGACACAUGAAUAUUAGACUAGCACAUGUAUUAGUUGAUGACUAUGUUUCACAAGUCAUGGACAUGAAGAUGUGGAACUAAUAAUGUGGGCACAUGUGGAGACACGUGCUAGGACUGACCCAACACGAGAAGUAGUUCUCUCUUUAUACAACAUAUACGCUUUGUCCUUAGACCUGAGAUUGUCGCAUGUACUCAAGAUGUGGAUCGACUUACUUAGGGGCUAUCAAAUUCUACGCCGUAACAGGGUAGUUAUAAAGGUAGCUUUCGGGUUUGUCAAGAAGCAUGCUAUGAGACAUGGUCAAUCAAGAUGGGAUUUGCCCCUCUCUGAUUGAGAGUGAUAUCUCUGGGCCCCUCGAGUGAUCGGAUCCGAAAAUGCAUGGCCAUGCUACAUACGAUUAAGAGUUAGCCUACAAAAGGAUUCCGAAUCAUAGGAUCGAGAAAGAGCGGUCGGCUUGAAGCUAGACCAAAUAUCGUGAGGCAAAGGGAAUAGCAUGUAUAUAAUGUUGUGAUGGUUCGUCUGAUAUGAUCUUCGUGUGCGUAUAGGAGUUGGCACGUCUUGCUAGAGGUCGCUACCGACUAUUGGGCCGAGUAGGAGUACUCAGGCCAUGUCUAUACGUAUCCGAACCCAUAGGGUCACACACUUAAGGGGCUGGAAGCCCAAUUCGGAUGUGAUCCGAAUUGGAUUAGGUUUAGAAGUACUAAUGGGCCUUGGACCUAGAGGCCCGUUAGGAACCUCUAUAAAUAGAGGGGUGGGGGCGCCCUAGGGUUUACACCUUUUUGGUGAAACACAUCUGCCGCGCCUCCCACGCCUUCGCCUGUUGCAACUCGCGGACCUAGCAGUCCGGCUUGCGACGCUUCCUCCCUGCACGUGUGGAUACCUUGGAAGUGUUGCUCCUGCAGCACUUGGACGAGCCGCCAACGAGCCACGACGAGCCACGAUGAGCCGACGAUGAGCCGCGGCACGAGGGGGAUCUUGCUGCACGUGGACGAGCUGCUGAGGAGCUGCUGGACGUCGAUGUGUUCGACUACGUACGACUACGCUGAUCGACUUCGCUGCAUCAACGCGAAUCUACAUCUUCCGCAUCAUUGCAUCGAGUGGUAAUCCCGUGAUCCUGAUACGGCAGUUUUCCUAGUUUACGCGGUAGAAAAUUUUGUUUUGUGCUAGUGUAGCCUAACUCAUAUCCCAACAACGUGUGCUAUAGGUCACGCAAGCCUGAAAAUGGCCACACCGGACACCGGGUACGAAAACAUGGGGGAUGGACCGAACAUUUGAAAAUGGCCUCCAUAUGUGUUUUCGGCUAUGAAAAUGUGUGUUAUAGGUCACAGAAGCUUGAAAACGGCCGCACCAGCCACUAGGGACGAAAACGUGGGGGAUGGACCAAAGACAUAAAAAAUAGCCUCCAGACGCGUGUUCGGCCAUGAAAACGUGUGGUAUAGGUCCUGGAAGGCCAAAAACAGCUACACCGGCCACCUGGGACGAAAAAGUUUGUGUAAGACCGAACACUUGAAAAUAGCCUCUGGACGCGUGUUCGGCUAUGAAAAGGUGUGUUAUAGGUCACACGAGCCCCAAAACAACCACAGCGAACACCAGCUACAAAAACAUGGGGGAUGGAUCGAAUAAUUGAAAAUGGCCUCCAGACGUUUGUUCGGCCAUGAAAUCGUGCGUUAUAGGUCGCGGGAGCCCGAAAACGGCCACACCGGCCACCGGGAAUGAAAAUGUGGGGGAUGGACCGAACAAUUAAAAAUGGCCUCCGGAUGUGUGUUCGGCCAUGAAAACGUAUGUUAUAGGUCACGGGAGCAUGAAAACGGCCGCACUGGCCACUGGGGACGAAACGUGGGGGAUGGACCGAAGACGUGAAAAUAGCCUCCAGACGCAUGUUCGGCCAUGAAAAUGUGUGCUAUAGGUCAUGCAAGGCCAAAAACAGCUGCACCAGCAACCGGGGACGAAACCAUGGCUGUCAAACCGAACGCUUGAAAAUCGCCUUCGGACGCGUGUUCGGAUAUGAAAACAUGUGUUGUAGGUCACGCGUGCCCGAAAACGUCCACAACGGACACCGGGUACAAAAACGUGGGGGAUGGAUCGAAUAACUGAAAAUGACCUCCGAACGCGUGUUCGGCCAUGAAAACGUGUGUUAUAGGUUGCGGGAGCCCAAAAAUGGCCACACCGGCCACCGAGGAUCAAAACGUGGGGGAUUGACCGAACAAUUAAAAAUGGCCUCCGAUUGUAUGUUCGGCCAUGAAAACGUGUGUUAUAGGUCAUGGGGGCCCAAAAAUGGCCGCACCAGCCACCAAGGACGAAAAUAUGGGAGAUGGACCAAAGACAUGAAAAUGGCCUCCAGAUGCAUGUUUGGACAAAAGUGUGUGCUAUAUGUCGUGCAAGGCCAAAAACAGCUACACCAGCCACCGGGACAAAAACGUGGGUGUUUGACUAAACAAGUGAAAAUGGCCUCCGGAAGCAUGUACGGCUAUGAAAAUGUGUGCUAUAGGUAAUGGAAGGCUAACAAAAGCUACACCGGCCACCGGGGACAAAAUCAUGGGUGUCAGACUGAACACUUCAAAAUGGCCUCCGGACGCGUGUCCGGCUAUCAAAACGUGUGUUAUAGGUCAUGCGAGCCCGAAAACAACCACACUGAACACCGGGUACAGAAACAUGGGGGAUGGACUGAAUAACUGAAAAUGGCCUCUAGACGCGUGUUCGGUCAUGAAAACAUGUGUUGUAGGAUGCGGGAGCCCGAAAACGGCCACACCGGCCACCAGGGCAUGGACCAAACAAUUGAAAAUGGCCUCCGGAUGUGUGUUCGGCCAUGAAAACGUGUGUUAUAGGUCACGGGAGCCCAAAAAUAGCCGCACCGACCACUGGGGAUGAAAUCGUGGGGGAUGGACCGAAGAUGUGAAAAUGGCCUCCAGAUGCGUGUUCGGCCAUGAAAACGUGCGCUAUAAGUCAUGUAAGGCUAAAAAUUGCUACACCGGGACUAAAGCAUCCCCCAUGAGUUACAAUAAAAGGAUUGUAUCCUCUACUCAGUCGGAUGUACUGUGUAGGUGAGAUGGUAAGGAAGCUAUGCGCGAGGUUUGAGGUUGUGGGUUGAAAUCCUACGCACCGCGCGCACACGCGCAUAUUUUGUGUGAAAAAUCAUGUGACUUGUGAUCGGCCAAGGAGAAGUGGGUGCAGCUGUGGCUUAAGUGGCUGAGGCACGCUGCCAUAGACAUCUCCGAUUUGCUCGAAGACUACCAAGACACUAGCAAUAACAAGAACUACUGCUCUUCCUAGCAGACUCUUUACAACCACUUUAAAGCUGUGCAUUUCUCAAUGUAAUUUCGUAGAAGGCAAUCGAUCCAACCAAGCGACUAAAUCAUUUGUUCUUGCCAAUGAUGUACAUCAGGUUUUCUAUAUGAAGGACAUGUCUAGCAAACCUAAGAUUUUAGAAGAAAAAGAAAAAUUAUGGGAGUCAAUAAUAAAUCAGGCCAAUCAGGAGAUUAUAGUAAGCUCGAUGGUAUGCCUCCAUUCGAUGUCGAAGUUGGCCCAAGCAUCAUGUUAGCCAAAGAUCAAAUGUUCGUGCAUUGCUACGGUAAAGAUCAAUUGUGUCUUUUAAACCCAUGGAAUUUUUUAUCUAUGUUUUUAUUACACUUAAUGGAUGUCUACACAUUUGCUAGAAAAUCAAAAUAAUUUUGACUUAAUUAUUUCUUUCAACUCAAAUACUCAUUAAAUUUCUACCUUUUUAUUUAAGCAAGAGAGUUGCUCAAAAAAUGGAUACGUAACCAUGUUGUAUCAUACAAAGCAACCACAUUUCACAUAUAGUCUGGCUUAGCAAACACCAUUGUUGUCUUAACAUAGUGUUCAUGAGUUAGUAGACAUGGAUCUAUUUCUAAUUGCAAGUAGUGCAGCGUACAACCAGCCUGCACCGCCGCAGCUCAAUAUGCGAUAAUUUUUUAUCUUCCCAUGUAAUUUUUCUACUCUAGUACAUAUUGAACUCCACAUAAAUGUCAUGUUCUUUCACGCCACAGACGGUUUCUAAAGUUUGGAACUAAAUAGAUAGCCAAAAAUUUUAAAAAAAUAUUUAUAUGGAUACAUGUAUGUUCUUUGCAAACUAACAAUAUUGUUUACAAUAUCAAAAGGAAUAUGGCUAUGAUCAUUGCCGCAUAUGGCAGGUGAUGGUAGAUGCCGUAUGGGGUUUCUUUAACUUAAUUGUAUAAUAAGCUGAAAUACAUUUUCUAUUUGCAAAUGAAUCAUAGCUGAAAGUGGUGGGAUUGUAGAACCGCCGGCCAUCGUGUCCUUGUAGGACCGCUGCACGAGCCUGUGAGCCACCAGCCACCAUGCGCCCAAGGGCCAUCACCACGCCAUAAGAGGAUGCUGUCUACCCGGUUUCGCGCGCCUGUGCUAGCUGCCUGAACCUGGGCCGCCGCCGGUCGCCUGCCCAGCCGCGCGUUGCGCCAGGGUUUUGCUGGUGACGACCAUGGCCUUCGCGAUCAAAUUAAAAAGUUAUCAACUGCAAAGUAUUAGGUCUCGUUGAGCUCUACAAUUUUGAUAUAAAGUUUCUAUUCAUCCGAGAUCAAAUAAAAAAUUUGAUACUCAAAGCAUAAAUCCAUUAAUCUAGUCUUGCUAAUCCUUACCACCAAAUAAAAAACUAGCAUGUGUUGUGUGUUUGUGACCCUAAACGAUCACAAAUGAAUAACUUAUGGGCCUUGCUAGCGCCCGGAUGUCCAGGCCGGGGCACUAGCAUCAGACCCACGAGUAGCCGUCCGAUCAGGUUCGACACCACUUCAGGAUCUGGCUUAAAAAGAAGUCCCACCGAAACAUUGUUCCAUGUUGCAUGAAGCAACCCACUACCGUCGCCAGGUCUAGAGCAAGCACCACCUUCAAAUGUGCUGCUCACCCUAGCUAAAUAGGGGCAUUAAAAUAUUUCUCGCAUAUCCUUCUCAAAUUAAACAAAAUCGCAACAUCUGAAAAUUUUUACAGAAAACCAUGAAACAUAUCGAUUAGAUAGAUGUAACAAGAUGGAAUAUGGUAUAUGCAACAUAUAGGUUCCGAAAAGCAGAUGAAAUAUUAUGUAAUGAUUCUUGAAACAGUCAAGAAAAAUAGAUGUAACAUCUAAAAUUAAGAAAAGAAGCUUUAUGCAAAUUGCAAAAAGCUGAAACAAGUGGUUGAAACAUUUCAAAUCACCAAAUGCCACAUUUGAAAUGACCAGAUGAAACAUCACGAAAUCAAUUGCAACAGUUGAAGAUGAAAACAUUCAAAUGCCUUGCCUUUCUCCAAAUUUGACCCUCCAAGCAUGAGUCCAGCCAUUUGCACAUUAGACCCUUGGGAGGAGCUCACCGGAGAACAACAAGACCGUGUUAUCCAACAAUUUUCAGAUCAAAUUGCAACAUAAAGAACAAAGCAUUGCAACAUCUGGCAUCACGAGCUACAACAGCAACCAGUUAGGAUCAGGAGAAAGAGGGCAAACACAAGCCUAACAAUGAGUUAUAUCCGGUUUAAACAAGGAUAAAAAUGAGUGUAUUUUACACUCAUCAUGUUGUCUUUUCGCAGCUGUACCGCCUUUAGCGUGUUGUAUUGUUCCUAACACCAAGUCUCCGAGGCCCGAAAAAAUAAGGAAAGUGGUAGCAGCUCAGAAAUCGACUAAGUUUCUUUCCCCCUUUGGCUUUCCUACUAGGAUUCGGAAUCCUCUUUCGUAUGACAAUCUUAAUGAUCUCCCAUAGUCCAAAACUCACAAAAACAUCAAAAAUCCACCGAGAAUAAAUUAAGUAAAAAAACAUGCACACACAGAUAAUAAUAGUAAUCAUGUUUCAUUAUGAUUGCUAAGGUCAGACACAAUACAUAAACAUAUUAGACUGAGUGACCCACCUCACCUCAGAGUAUGCACCAUGUCUGAGUGACCCACCUCACCUUGCCAGGACACUGGUCCUGCCCUCGUGGUUCACGCGCCCUCGUGGUUCAGCAGUGGUCAGUACACAAAUCUAGCUGCCAGUCGGAUCCAAGGGCAGGCAUUUGCAUUGUGGUUGUGUUUGAACAUGGAGAUGUCAUUAUUAUUGUCAGGCACCAUACAUCCUCUCUCAGUUUCACUCCGCCUCACACACGGAUAGCACACCAGGGACCCGACACCAUGCAUGCCGAUUUCAUAUUAUUAAUAUUUAAUUUUUUUAAUGGUUGUUGAAACUAUAUUGUUGAUAUUUUUAUACAUAAUUUACGACCUAAUUUGGAUAUAUUUUUGAAAUAUUCCGAAAUCUUAAAUUCACACGUCUAGAGAUACAGUUAGUCCAAUCUGAUGUUUCCGAUUAUAAAAAUGAACAUAAAGAGAUAGGAAGCGAGAGACGUGAGGGGGAAAGUUAAAUUAGGGCCUAAGGGGUGAAGUUAGGGUUCCAGGUGAGCUGUCAUCACUACGUGUUUUUAAUCGAAAUUGGAAUGUCAGCAAUCGUCAGAUCUUGAGCCAACAGUUGAGACUGCCUCGGAAUGGUAAUUAGGUCUGCGCGAGCUUGCAUUGUGGCCUUCCUUGAAACCUUGGACAUAGGUGUUAUAUUAUUAUGUUCUUGCCAGCACACAGCAGUGAAGGACGACACAGUUGAGAUGUGCAUCACAUUUUCUAUAUGAAGGAUAUGUUUAGCAAACCUAAGAUUUUAGAAUAAAAAGAAAAAUCAUGGGAGCCAAAGCGCCACAUAGUUCUUCCAGGUAAAAAAAAAUCAUCCACUGGACCAGCACAUAGUAACGAUCCAAAAAGUCCAUAUUAAGAUUUUUUGAUAGCAGAAAAAACAUAAAAUGUCUAAUAUUUGUAGUAUUAAAAGGAAAAAUAAUAUAUUCACGUGACCUUUUUCCCGUAGCAAGGCACCGGUACGUGGUCAGACUUAAUGCACGAUGCCUAAGCAUCCAUUGGGCCUACCCUCGUGUGGAUCACGCGCAACAGGACACGGCUCACAAGCUAUGAUGUGCAGCAGUCGCUCAGAUGGCUGAAAGGUACCCUUAAUUUGAAUGGUACCAUAUAUAUAUAUAUAUAUAUAUAUAUAGUAAACAAGACAAACCACCGUUGAUACUACUUUGCACUACUUGAUACAUAUAUCUCCACCAAAAGCGAGGCACGUGGGGAGGAGAGAUAUGUGGUUGAUGGUGCGGGCACGUGGCGAGUGCACCGUACGAAAAUUUUGCUCGUGUCGGACGACUGAUGUGAAGCAUUACCCAAUCUUAAUUAUCUCCCAUAAUCCAAAACUCACAAAAACAUCAAAAAUCCGCCGAGAAUAAAUUAAGUAAACCAUGCACACACAGAUAAUAAAAUUGCUAAUAAGGCCAGAGACAAUACAUAAACAUAUUAGACUGUUCAUGACACAUAUCACGGUGGAUAGUGUCUGUGUCCUUAUUACAAGCAAUGAGAGAUGCUUGUCACCACACACACGCGCACAGAUGCACAACAUACAUAUAGUUGAGACCAACAGAUGGAUCAACUAGAGGUCACCCCAUAUGGUGAACAAUUUAUUGGAGAUAAACAUUAACAUAACUUGGCCAUAGCUUGAAGCAUAGCAACAUAUGCCUAUGAACGGCGUUCAUGCUAUCAUUUUAGGCUUGUCCGCUUCUUCCAUCUUAGCAAGCACUUCCAUUUCUACCAUCUUAGAAGCAACUGUCAAAUUGAGAUAUGGAAAUCCCAUUAGCGCAUGAGUUAAUUUUGCAGUGAAAAUAGAGUACAAGAUAUCUUCAUGAUGUAAGUAACAUGCCUGAAGUUGUGAGAUGGGAAGUGAAGUCAACAAAUUACAUUAACGGAAAUGCAUGGAAGGCCACACAUACGUAUUAGUCCAUGAUAUGCUACAAAGCUUGUAUGUACAUAUAGCAAAUUAAAUGCAUUAAUUGAAUAGAGUGAGUUUAGUGAAUUUACCAGAAUCGUCCAGAAAACAUGGGAAACAGCAAGUGUUCUUGCAGACUGCGUCGGUGCCACCCACAGCAAUACAACCAAAACAACAUGCUUUUGCCCGAGCGGCUGCGCAGCAGCCGCACUCUGCCGCGGUGGCCGAGUUAGCAUUGAGGCUCAAGAUGACCAGGCACAUGAUCACCAUCAAAGCGGUGGUAGUCCUCUUUCCCUCCAUUGCCUCCUCUUGCUGCUACCUUCCUUGGUUACCUAGCUAAGUUUAUUGGUUUUGUGUUGAGAGGUGAUUCUUGCAUUGAAUGGACGUUGCCGCGGCUGCAAUUUAUAGGCAGCUGCGCUAUGUGAUGAUAUGGACAAGGUGCAAAUGGGUGGUCCUGAUAUGGAUAAGGUGCAUGCGAAUGGCUGUCUACUUGUAUAGUGGCGCUCCAAUGUACAUACGUAUGUAUCUUAUGCAUGUAUACAGUUGAUGGAUGUACAUGUUUGUUGCACAAAUUAUUCUGAACCAACUCUUCAUAACAGGUCUUUGUUACCAAGUAAUUUUACUUUUGCACGUUUCAGCCGAGAGGCAGAAGAGAAUAUUUUACAGAGAGGGCAGAGAAGGAGGUUGGCGGAGGCGCCGUGGUAGGGUUCCCCGUGUCGCCAAGAUUUUUGCAUUUUAGAUGUGUGUAUUGAUCACUUCGUCGUGCUCGCGGGGCCCAACUCCAGGUUGUACCCCAGCAGACCACGUUCUGUUUCUCUGCCUCCAAUGAGCAUGCAUGCCUCCACAAGGACCACAAGACUUAGUAAAAAAGCUAAACUUUGCAACACGAUGUAUACAGAACGUUUUGAAAUGUACUCUCGUUAGGCAUUCACCUCCUUAACAAUCACUGCGACUGUAAAAGAGGUACAUCGACGCUAGCUAAAUAAACCACUAUAAGAUUUAGCAAGAGAUCAUUUUAUACAAUCCUGUAACGAAACAAUUUGACAAUUAUAGUGUCCAUAUAUUUUGACAAAAAAACGUUUAAAUUAUAUAAGGAGGUGGGCCCGAAAACGGUUGGAUUACAUCGAGAACGUUUUGAAACAGUUGGCGGAGCAGGAUUCUGGCGUGGAGCAUCUACAUUGUCGCGCGCGCGGACUGCCGGAGUAGGCACGCUCGACUUGUCCCAUCGCCAGCUAAAUGAUUUAGUACCGGAUGGUCUCUAGUACCGGUUGGAGCUACCGUCCACCAGGAGCUUUUCUAGUUUGGAACUGGUACUAAUGCUAAUAUUAGUAUCAGGUCAAAAACAAUCGGUACUAAGGCUAGGGAUGACACGUCAUUUUUCUAGUAGUGUGUGCAAUUGGUUUUGUAAUUAGUCUAUAUUUAAUACUUCUAAUUAGUAUCUACACAUUUUAUGUGACAGGGACUGAACUUUAGUCCGUGGAACCAAACACCCCAUAAGUAUGUUUGGUGCUGUAAGGAUUUCGGUUUUAUUUAAUUUCCUAGGCAUUUAAAUUUCUUUCUAAAAUAAGUUAAUGAAUCAUAGGAUCUCAUUGUUGUAUUCAAGCUGGUGCAUUGAUUUUGCCUAUAAAACCCGCCGCGGUCUUCGCAGCCCCCAUCAAACCCUAGCGCCCUUGCCACAAGCUCAGCACCGCUGCCGCCCGAGCUCGAGCACUAGCACCCACCCAUCGCCGUUGCCUUCCCGUCGAUGGGAUCACCGCCCGGAGCUUCGCAUCGUGGUAAGGAAGCCGCCCGUGAAGAUCCCAUGUGCUCCUAUGCCCUCUACCGCGUCCCCGAGUUCCCGGAGUUGCUAGUCUCCCACCGAGCCGACUCUCCGAGCUUCACGUCACUGGUGCCGCUCCGAAGACCUAGUUCGGUUCGCCAUGCACCUCGCUUCAUCCUGAGCUAAACCCCAUAAUGAAUGGUGGUCGGAUGCUCGCCGCCACGGCGCGUCGUCUUUUCUGUCGCCCGUGCAUUGCCUAUCCCCUUCCAGCCGAUUGCAGCUGUCCGAUCGCAAACCGGUGGCCCUGAUCGGAUACCAAGGUCAAUACCGGUCGAACCGAGCCGUGCGCUGCUUUUGCAAGAAGGCCCCUGUUUUUCUCUCUUUUUGCACCUGAGGUCCUACGCAGUUCAAAAGUAAUAAGAUCUAGGUCCUUUUUCUUUUGUUUUAGCCCGUGUUCUUUUAUAAAAUCCCGCCCACUAUUCUGUUUGGUCUUUUGACGCGUUAGACCUUCUUUUUAUAUGUUUAAUUAGGUUUUAGGUCUCGAUUUCUUUAAGUUUAGCCCUUGAAAGUUUAGUUCUCUCGCAGUUAAGCCCCUGAACCUUGUUUAGCUCAUAUCUUAAGCGUUUUAAAUCCGUUUUAACAGAUUCUUGCGCCUAUAAGUUCAUGUUGACGCAUAGAUUAGUUGACUUAUACGAACCUUGCUGAUUCAGCUCCUUGAUUGUGCUUCAGAUCUCGCUAGGGAAGAAUAAUGGAUGGGCUUUGGUUGAGCUUGUAGAUCGACUUGCAGUUGCAGUGAAUGAGCAGAGGAUUGGCAGUGAAUAAGAUCAGGCCGCUGCCCUGCUUGGUAGGGAAAAUAUCUGCUUGCUACCAAGGCCUGUGACGCAUGGACCCCAUUGAGAGUGCAUUAUUGACAAGGACUUAAAGCCAAGGGCUCCACACCUGUCAUUGAUCAGCUGUCUGCUGGGCGCUGCAAGGAGGUAGUGCAUGUUUGACAUAAAGAAGCAGGUGGCCCAGGAUUUACGAAAAAUAAGGAUCUAUUUGAUACCCUUGCUUAUAUUUAGGGGCUAAAAGUUGCUUAUUUGAAGUUGCUUAUUUUUAAUCCUAGCUGUUUGAUUGCAUGGGCUAAAGAGCAUUGAAUGAGGUGGAUAUUGUCAUGUUUGCCUCUAAUGAUUGCUUCCCAUCACAUUUCUCCCCCCUCAUUCAACGAGGGAAGGAGGUGUAAAGUGCACCUUUUAGCCCCGAUAAGUAACCCUUGUGUUGUUUACGGGCUGAACAUAAGUAGCUAAAGUUUAGCUCCAAUAAACAAGAGUGUUUGGUAUUUUUGGGGUUAAAAGGGGCUAAACUUUAGCUGCUUAUGCAUAAGCAAGGCCAUCCAAAUAGGCCCUAAGUAUGUUUGGCGUUGUAAGUAGGUUUUAUUUAAUUUCCUAGGCAUUUAAAUUUCUUUCUAAAAUAAGUUAAUGAAUCAUAGGAGUUCAUUGUUGCAUUCACGCUGGUGCAUUGAUUUUGCCUACAAAACCUGCUGCCGUUUCCGCAGCUCCCAUCAAACCCUAGCACCCCCGCCACGAGCUCCAGCGCCGCUGCCGCCCGAGCUUGAGCACUAGCGCACACCCAUCGCCGUCGCCUUCCUAUCAAUGGGAUCACCGCCCGGAGCCCGUGUCAUGGUAAAGAAGCCGCCCGUGAAGAUCCCGUCCACUCUCGUGCCCUCUACCGCGUCCUCGAGUUCACCGGAGUUGCCAGUCUGCCACCCAGCCGCCUCUCCGAGCUUCAUGUUGUCGUUGCCACUCUAGCUGCCUCUCUGAAGACCUAGAUCGGUUUGCCGUGCACCCCGCUUCAUCCUGAGUUAAACCCCAUCAUGCCACGUCAUAGUAAGGAAGCUGCUCAUGAAGAUCCCGUGCGCUCCCGUGCCCUCUACCGCGUCCCCAAGUUCACUGGAGUUGCUAGUCCACCACCGAGCCGCCUCUCCGAGCUUCACUUCACAGUCGCUGCUCCAGCCACCACUCUGAAGACCUAGAUCAGUUCGCUGUGCACCCCACCUCAUCCUGAGCUAAACCCCAUGACGAACUGUGGUCGGAUGCUCAUUUUCGAGUGAAUUCCGGCGAGAUGGUCGCCCGCCGCCGCCAUCUCCAUCGCCCAUGCACCGCCUGUCCCCUUCCAGCCGAUGUCCGAUUGCAAACCGAUAGCCGAAAUCGGAUGUGGUCACCAGGAUUAAUACCAGUCAAACUAAGCCACGCGUGCCGCUUUUGCAAGAAGGCCCCUAUUUUUCCCUCUUUUUGCACUUGAGGUCCUAUGCAGUUCAAAAGUAAUUAGAUCAAGGUCCUUUUUCUUAUGUUUUAGCCCUAUUCUUUCAUAAAAUCCCGGCUGCCAUCCUGUUUGAAAUAGAUACGGUUAUAGAUAUGCAAACAUCUGCAUAUUUCCAACCGUAUCUCUUUCGAACGGGAGACGCCUAACUAGGUUACGUGACAUACGAACAUCAUACGGAUAGAGAGGGGUAGGAUGUCUCACCUUGCUAUCCUACAAAGUGACGACUCGAGGACAGUAAUGUAGCCUCUCCUUCAAAAAAAGAACAUACUACUAUCAAGUUAAAUUUUUGACAGCACCUCCCCUGCACGUGGAGGUUUCCAUAACCUGCAUCAAAUAAAACGGCACGAUGGCUGACAACCACAUCUACAGCACCAGAAUGGCACGAUGGCCGACUUCCACAUAAAGUUCUUAUACCUUAGAUUGCCAAGUCAAACAUCCUUUUCUAAUUUCUAAAACAAAAGCCCUCCCACCUCUCUAUCUUAUACUUUCCUAUUUACUAAUUGCUUUUGUAAUUUCUAAUUUCUAUUUCAUCCUACCACCUCUGUACCCUUUUCUCAUUUCUAAUUCCAAUUUUCUAACUUGAAGAGCAAAGAUUGAUUACUAGGAGGGGUGAGGGACGCCGGCCUAGAGAGGCGAGGGGACGUCCGGCGGCGGCGGGUGCGUCGGGGGUAGGAUGCCAGGGGCGGCUGCAGGGGCGCCGGGUUGGGGGCGGCCGGGAUCGAGGGCACCAGUAGCGGGGGCACCGGGCCGGGGGCGGCCGGCGGGGCGGGACGCCAGGGCCGGGGCGACGGGCGCCGGUGGCGAGGCCGCCCGGCCGGUGGUGGCCGGCGUGGCGCCUGGGCCGGGGGGGGGGGGCGGGCGGGGUGCGGCGCGGCGCGCCGGGGCAGGGCGCCGAGGCUGGGUGGUGGGGUACGGGGCGGCGGGCGGGGGGUGGGGGGAGGGUCGGCGGCGGGGCGCGGGGGCGGCCAGCGGCGACGGCGGAGGGCGUCGGUGGUGUUUCGGAAGUGAUACGGAGGGGGUAGAGAGAUUCGUUUUCGCGGCUGAGUGUUCGAGUCAGAAGGCCGUGCGGCUUAAGUCAGGUGGUUUGCCGAGUGCGCGCGAUCUGGCACUCGGCAAAGUCAGAAGUUUUGCCGAGUGUCAGAUCGCGGGCACUCGGCAACUGCAGCUUUUGUCGAGUGCCCUGGAUUCGGCACUCGGCAAAGUGAAGUUUUAAUUUUUUUUAAAAAAAUUUAAUCGGAACACGGGCGUGCCAGCGGGCCCGUGACAUACUUUGCCGAGUGUGUAGCAAAAACACUCGGCAAAAUAUUAUCUUUACCGAGUGUUUUCGCUAGGCACUCGGCAAAGUACACUUAUAUUUCAUGUACACUUUUUCAAUAACGUGUUUUACUAACCUUUUUCUGAUAUACUUGGGAAAAACCUUAUCAAAUUCACUCAACAAUGGAUAUAUGGUUUUUCUACUGACAUUAUUCCAUUAUUUCAUUCAGUUAUAGCUCAAAUUGAAUUUAUAUCUAUUAAAAAUCAAUAAUUGCAUUUAAUAAAUAAAAAAUACCAAACGGAUCUGAAAAAUUUCCAAAAUUUGACAUGAACCAAUCUAUGUUGUAUGUUGCCUGUACAAAAAGCUUUGAAGUCAAACCCCAAUUCAAGUGUCACUUGGACUCCAAAUCUUAUCGGAUCCUUUCUAACUUCUAUGAAUCCUUUCGGGAGAUGAGUCGGUUUGUAAGCAUCAUAUGUCAUAAAUUGGGCGAAACCUUCUCAAUUUUUUACCACAGCCUCCACAUAUAAUAUCAUGACACCUUGACAAAUCUUGUGAUUUUCAGACUUCGUUUGCUUUUUUUAGAAUUUAACAACCAUUCAACCACAUGUUCGUGAUCGUGUUUUCUAAAAAAAUGUUCAAAAUUUCUUUUCAUUUCCUGGUUGAGACCUCAAUCCGGAUUGAAUAAUAUGAAUAUGAUUUUUUCACUGAUUUUAAUCCAUUAUUUAAAUCACUUGCAGUUAAAUUUGACUUAAAUAAACAAAUUCCUAUUAAUGCUAUCAAUUCAUUAAAAAUAGCAAACAGAGAAAAAAUAGACCAACUUUUAAGAUGGAUUACCAAAUGUCAUAUGUGGGGAGUAGAAAAAGUGUGGAGAGCAGAGGUGGAAAAAAAAGUUUUGCCUUUGCCAAGUGCCUACACAAACACUCAACAAACUUUGCGGAGUGCCUAUUGAAAACACUCAGCGAACUUCUGAGUUUGCCGAGUGUCUGGAGGGAGCACUCGGCAACCUACUUAUUUGCCGAGUGUCCGCGUCGGACACUCAGCAAAGUACUAACGGCUGGCACACUCCCCUAACGGACGGCGCACGUGCAAGCCAUGUGCUGGAGAUUUAUCGAGUGUCAAAUCGUUGCCGAGUGUCGUGUGGAUGUUUGCCGAGUGUCUUAUUUGUGACACUCGGCAAAGCUAUUGUUUGCCGAGUGUAUUAUUUAUGCCGAGUGUCUUCCAGUAUACACUCGGCAAAUGAUGUCUUUGCCGAGUGCUCGACAUAAAGCACUCGGCAAAAAUUUUACACUCGGCAACAUUCCUGUUUCCGGUAGUGAGUGACCCGGGACUAAAGACCCCCGUUGUCUCUGAUUGCUUUAUUCCGGAUGGAUUUUCAGGAGAUUUGCUCCCUACCAAUAGGGACUAAAGGCAAGUUUUCCACUUAUAGCAAACCAGUUAGCCCAUUGUUGAUGGAACGCAUCACUAGAAACAGCUCGGGAUCCACUUGUCCAAUAAUCGAGAGGGCCUAUAUAUGGACCACGUGUGCGGAUCCCUAAUUAGGAAAAAAGAAUAAUGGAGUAGGACAUCUCCAUGCUCACCUAGUAGCCGCUGCUAGCUUGUGCGUGUGGAACACGAGUGCCGGCCCAGUUGGCGCUAAGACAUCGUACGUGCAUUAAGGCUACGAUCUCUUUCUUCUAACUCAUGCUUGUGCUAUUAUACAUUAUUGCAUGAUCAUCAAGAUAAGAUCGUAUAGUGACUGAGUGAGACAUGUAUGUACUAACAUGCAUUUAAGCCUCGAACUGUGUGUUGUUACGUGAGCUGCCUCCUCACCUCGCCUCUGAAUUAUUGAACCGUUUCCAACAGUGUUGGUCUCAAAUAAAUUUGACACCAAACAGAUUUAUGAAGAAGAGAGAAUAAUACUUGGAAUUGGAAAAAGUUUAUCUCUCUUUACAAUGGAGUAGGGCUCCCUUUUAUAGUGACCCAUAAGCCACUUUACAUUUGGAAAAUGUCCUUCCUCAACCACUACAUUAAUUCCUAGGAUAUGCUGUACAUAAAGGUCAUUUGAGGUAACGUGUACAAAUGAACUCUUCCACAUGGUCACGUUUCUCAUGCCUCCUGUUUUCCAACCUCGAGACAUCAUCUUCACGCCAAGUUGAUCAUCUAGCCUCGAGGCUCCAUCCACGAUCCAGAAUGAACGUCCAGGCUUGAGGCUCCUUCUUCGUUAAGCUUUGUUGAGAACUCAUAACCUCACAUAGUUCUCCUCCGAGUAUUGUUCCCGACUCAGAACACUCGAGGUUUAGCUCAGUUGGAGUUUAGCUAUUACUGUUGCUAGUCACCAGCCUCGAGCCCCUCCAGAAGCAAGGUGAUGCGAGGGUACGAGUUUUACUAUUAAAGGUGUUUCCAUAGAAUGUGCGAGGUUAAAGCACUUGCAGCAAAAGCGUGGAGCUGCUUUCAACCAGAGUGCAAUAAUGCAGCCGUGCCCAUCUUGGUCUUGGUCUCCGCCUGAACUAUAGCAGAUGCUGGCAGCGGUAGCAGGGUGGUCCAUUAUAUCUAUGGAUGGCAAUGGUCGGAUUCGGAUGGAAUCGAAUUCGAAUAGCACUUUUUACCACAUACUAAUUCAAAUCCGAAUUCGGAUUCGGAUGUUCUCGAAUGCGAAUGCAAAAUGGAUGGUUCGAAUUCGAAUACUUAGCGGAUUUUUGCAUAAUAUUAAUCGAAUAGAAUUCAUUAAAUUUAGCCAAGAAAUUAAAUUUUCUGAAAUUAAAUACUUUCCCUUCGCCCCAGCGGCGGCCUAACUCCCAGGACGGUGGCGUGCGGGGCCCGAGCAUCCCUGGCCUCUAGUGGCGUGGCGGGGCGGCAUCCAGCAGCAGCGGCGGGGCUCGGCCUCCGGUGGCGCGCGGCCAGCCCGACCUACCCGGUCAGAGGUGGCGCAGCGGUGCGCGGGCCUCCCCGACCAGAGCCGGUGGGGAGCGGUGCGCGGGGAGGACCUCCCCAGCCGGAGGUAGCAGGGCGCGACCUCCCCGGCCGGAGGUGGCUCCCUGUGGGGGCGCGGCCGUGACAGCUAGCGAGGCAAUAAUUGCUUCCGUACGCAGCAAUAAUUGCUUGUGCGACACCGUGUUAUUACUCUGGUACAGUACUCCCUCCGUUGCAGUACACUGGUCCAGGCGUCAGGACACUGCUCCUGCCCUCGUGGUUCACGUGCAUCAGGCCAGCAGACAAGCUAUGAUGUUGCCAACAGUGUUUGUUUGAACAUGGAGAUGUCAUUGUGAUUGUCAGGGACCCGACACCAUGCAUGCCGAUUUCAUAUUCUUAAUAUUUAUUUUUUUAAUGGUUGUUGAAACUAUAUAGUUACUCCAAUAUCACGUUUCCGAUUAUAAAAAUUAACAUAAAGAGAUCGGAAGGGAGAGCCCGCAUAAUGAAGCCGACGCGUAUAAUAAGCACUAGAGCCGGCAUUUAUACAAACGGGUACGCAUAGUAAAAACUAGAAUUUAUAAAUAAAUGAAGAUAUUCAAAUAUCUGGCUUACUUUUUUCAUUAAUUUUGCAUGAAUAAGGGAUGAUUCAUUAAUCAUUAUUGAACAAAUUGGCACACAUGCUUCGUGCCCGCGUUGUGAGCAUUAUGCGAUGCCACUGAGCUGCACCACCACGGUAGAGGGCCUGUUUGCGAUGCCACCGAGCUGCACCACCACGGCAGAGGGUCUGUUUGGGAAGGGGAAGUUAAAGUUUAACACCCCCCAUUUAACACCUUUUUAACAAAAUGGCUGCUAAACACUUGUGUUAAAAGAGUAGUGUUAAAAUUUAACACCUCUCUUUUCAUAAACACAUGGAGGGGGUGUUAAAAUUUGCUAAAUGUGUUAAAAGUGGUCCCCUCCCCACUUAUUCCUUGGUUGCCCCCCUCUCUCUCCUCCUCUCUCUCCUACCCGCCGCAUUUAAGAGCAUUAUUGAGGGGUAAUGCAGUCCUUUUCCAACAAAAGUGUUAAACUUUAACAACCCUUCCCAAACAUGCCACAAGCAACACCACCGGCUGACUGUGCUAGCGGGGAGCACCCUCACCGCCUGCCCGUGGGGACUUCUUCUGCCGGCCAUCGUGUCUUUGUAGGACCGCCGCGUGAGCCUAUGAGCCACCGGUGGCCGUGCGCCCAAGGGCCAUCACCAUGCCACCUGAGGAUGCUGUCUACCCGGUGCCGCGUGCCUCUGCUAGCUGCUUGCACCUGGGCCGCCGCUGGUCGCCUGCACAGCCACGCGUUACAGCCGCCCCCCUGCGCUGGGCCACCCCAUUUCGUGUUGGAAGAACUGCCACAGUCUCGCGCACUGGGGUUUUGCUAGUGACGACCAUAGCCUCCAAGAUCAAAUGAAAAAGUUGGUACUCAAAACAUACAUCCAUUAAUCUAGUCGUGCUAAUCCUUACCACCAAAUAAAAACUAGCAUGUGUUGUGUUUUUGUGACCCUAAACGAUCACAAAUGAAUAACUUAUGGGCGUUGCUAGCCUAUAAGUUAUGGGCGUUUGUGACCCUAGUCGCGCCGGGGUCUUGCUGGUGACAACCAUGGUCUUCGCGAUAAAGUAUUAAGUCUCAUCGAGUUCUACAAUUUUGAUAUAAAAUUUCUAUUCAUCCGAGAUCAAAUGAAAAACAAAUGAAAAAAUCCGAAGUAUUAGGCUUCAUCGAGCUCUACAAUUUUGAUAUAAAAUUUCUAUUCAUCCGAGAUCAAAUGAAAAAAUCCGAGAUCAAAUGAAAAGUUGGAACUCAAAACAUACAUCCAUUAAUCUUGAUAUAAAAUUUCUAUUCAUCCGACAUCAAAUGAAAAAGUUGGUACUCAAAAUAUACAUCCUUUAAUCUAGUCGUGCUAAUCCUUACCACCAAAUAAAAAAACUAGCAUGUGUUGUGUGUUUCUGACCGUAAACGAUCACAAAUGAAUAACUUAUGGGUGUUGCUAGCGUCCCGGACGCUAGCAUCGGACGCAUGAGCAGCCGUCCGAUCGGGUCCGACACCACUUCACGAUCUGUCUUAAAAAAAAGUCCCACCGAAACAUUGUUCCAUGUUGCAUGAAAUACCCCACUAUCCAUCGCCAGGUCUACAGCAAGCACCACCUUCCAAUCUGCUGCUCACCCAAGCUAAAUAGGGGCAUUAAAAUUGCAGAAAUAUGUCACAUAUCCUUGUCAAAUUAAACUAAAUCGCAACAUCCGAAAAUUUCUUACACAAAACCAUGAAACAUAUCGAUUAGAUAGGUGUAACAAGAUGGAAUAUGGUAUCCAACAUAUAGAUUCCGAAAAACAGAUGAAACAUUAUGUAACGAUUGUUGAAACAGUCGAGAAAUAUAGAUGUAACGAUUAAAAUUUAGAAAAGAAGCUUUAUGCAAAUUGCAAAAAGCUGAAAUAAGUGGUUGAAACAUUUCGAAUCACCAAAUGCCACAUUUGAAAUGGCUACAUGAAACAUCACGAAAUCAAUUGCAACAGUUGAAGAUGAAAACAUUCAAAUGCCUUGCCUUUCUCCAGAUUUGACCCUCCAAGCAUGAGUCCAGCCAUUUGCACAUUAGACCCUUGGGAGGAGCUCACCGGAGAACAACAAGACCGUGUUCUCCAACAAUUUUCUGAUCAAAUUGCAACAGACAAAACAAAGCAUUGCAACAUCUGGCAUCACGAGCUACAACAUCAACAAGUUAGGAUCAGGAGAAAGAGGGAAAACACAAGCCUAACAACCCCAAGACAAAACUGAUGUACUCAUCAUACAUCACGGCUUGCCGUGCACAGAGAUGAAGGCCGCCAAGCUCAAUCGAGACAGAGACGACGUGAUAGUGCUCCAGAUCGACGGUCCCCAUCAAUUGUUGCGUACACUGCCAAAAGCAAUGGAAGAAGAAGGGUCGUCCCUGCUCGACCUCCGUAGAUGAGCGCAGAUUGGGGGAAACCGUAUAGAGUGCCGCUGACAGCACAGGCGAGGGGGCUCAGGCUUGAUUCAGGGUGAGGGUAGCGGGUAGCAUGAGGAGACAGUCAGGUUUCAUAGGAGAGAGGCGGAGUAGAGAGCUCUGGUGACUCGGUGAGGAGGGUGCGGCACGGAGAAAGGUGUGUAGCUGAAGGAGCUACAUGGUUGGGGCGAGGCGAGCGUAGAGACUAGAGAGGGAAAAAAAGCAUGGGGAGGAGACGAUAUGUGGUUGAUGGUGCGGGCACGUGGUGAGCGCACCGUAUGAAAAUUUUGCUCGCGUCGGAUGACUGAUGUGAAGCAUUACCCAAUCUUAAUUAUCUCCCAUAAUCCAAAACUCACAAAAACAUCAAAAAUCCGCCGAGAAUAAAUUAAGUAAACCAUGCACACACAGAUAAUAAAAUUGCUAAUAAGGCCAGAGAUAAUACAUGAACAUAUUAGACUGUUCAUGACACAUAUCACGGUGGAUAGUGUCUGUGUCCUUAUUACAAGCAAUGAGAGAUGCUUGUCACCACACACACGCGCACAGAUGCAUGACAUACAUAUAGUUGAGACCAACAGAUGGAUCAACUAGAGGUCACCCCAUAUGGUGAACAAUUUAUUGGAGAUAAACAUUAACAUAACUUGGCCAUAGCUUGAAGCAUAGCAACAUAUGCCUAUGAAUGGCGUUCAUGCUAUCGUUUUAGGCUUGUCCAGCUUCUUUCAUCUUAGCAAGCACUUCCAUUUCUACCAUCUUAGCAGCAACUGUCAAAUUGAGAUAUGGAAAUCCCAUUAGCGCAUGAUUAAUUUUGCAGUGGAAAUAGAGUGCAAGAUAUCUUCAUGAUGUAAAUAACAUGCCUGAAGUUGUGAGAUGGGAAGUGAAGUCAACAAAUUACAUUAACGGAAAUGCAUGGAAGGCCACACAUACGUAUUAGUCCAUAAUACGCUACAAAGCUUGUAUGUACAUAUAGCAAAUUAAAUGCAUUAAUUGAAUAGAGUGAGUUUAGUGAAUUUACCAGAAUCGUCCAGAAAACAUGGGAAACAGCAAGUGUGCUUGCAGACUGUGUCGGAGCCACCCACACGAAUACAAAGCUGACAACAUGCUUGUGCCUCGUGGGAUACGCAGCAGCCGCACUGUGCCGCGGUGGCCGAGUUAACAUUGAGGCUCAAGAUGAACAGGCACAUGAUCACCAUCAAAGUGGUAGUCCUCUUUCCCUCCAUUGCCUCCUGUCGCUGCUACCUUCCUUGGUUACUAGUAAGUUUAUUGGUUUUGUGUUGAGAGGUGAUUCUUGCAUUGAAUGGACGUUGCCGCGGCUGCAAUUUAUAGGCAGCUGCGCUAUGUGAUGAUAUGGACAAGGUGCAAAUGGGUGGUCCUGAUAU